rnacentral:lncRNA from 1 species
UCGUUGAUCACAACCUGCGACCCCCUCGUGAGGACCGCGAACCCACCAUCCUUCUUGAAGUUGGUGUAGAGGCAGAGGAUGUCCUGCAUGAGGGGUUCGUGCACAUCCGCUUUGGUUUGCAGUUUCGAGAGCAUAAGGCUCUCGAGGCGGCUCCAGAAGAGCUGAUUUUUGGUGACAUUGUAGGCAGCGAUGGGGACGCCAUCUUCGAUGAUCUUCUUCAUUGGCUCCUCAAUUUCGUGGAUUGCCUUGUUGUCUUCAGCUCCAUAAAGGAGGAUGUACUUUCGAGACUUGAUCUGAUAAUGAUAAUCUAUCGGAUAAGUAAUCGAUGAAAAAGGUUCUUACGGAUCAGUCCGCAUAUCUCUACAAUCUAAAAGCAAACGAUCAUCCUCUAGUUUCAAGUUUUCCACAAUAUUUCGGCAAAGCCUACCUCUAACAUAAGAUGGGUAGCAUACGUUAGCAGAAACAAGACACUGUGAAACGGUCUGCUUAGUUUCCUUCAAUUGAUUCUAAAUUCAAAUAAAAAUCUUUCCACCUCUCCAUAAAUUAAUUAAGAUCUUAUAAAUUAACUCAGAGAACAGUUUUUCUUCCUUAAGUGAAUGGUUAAAAGGAAAGUGAAAAAGAAUUAAAAAAACAUAGAACUACUUACAGCUUCAUUUAUCUUAGGAAUGACCAUGUCAGUCAGCAAGAGCUCAAACCAGCUGAUGCCAGGCUUGCUCCAUAGGCUUGCUCCCACUGAUUCAGUGAAAGGGAAAGCAUCCCAUCCCCAAAGCCUAAUCAUGCUCAUGGCAUUUUUGUUUGAGACUCGUCCCUGGGGACCCAACACAGUCACGAUGGUCUCUUGCCUAUAGUGCCACUUCUCCUUGAUGAUCUUGAUGGCCACCUUGUUGAUGAGUGUCGGGUAGCGCACUGAGUACCAAGGCAUUUGCGACUGUAGAUUCUUGAACUGGUUGUUCACGUCAUCGCCUUCUUGCUCGAUGAUCGGGAUCCACACGAUCUCAUAGCGCUCCUCAUGGAACUUGCGCUCGCUGUAGAUCUUGAUGAGGAUGGAAAGGUCGUGAGAGGUCAACUUUAGGUCGGAAAUCAGCAGCAUCACAUUCUUCCUCCGCAGGGACUCGACCUUAUCCUGUAUGUAGGGGAACGAUGAAGGAGGAUUAACAUUUCACUCCGUUGGUCGCUACCACUAAAGUCAACCACACAAAUUUACGCCAGGCCCAAAACUAGGUAUAUAAGUGCCACUUAGGUGAGAACAAAUGUUAUGUUUUGAUUUCAGCAAGUCAGUUGAAAAAGAGAUCUUUGACAAUGACGAUUACGACCAUAGCAUCAUUGUGGUACUCAACUAUGAAAAUAAAGUUUGACAAAAAAAAAAAAACCAUAAAGUGUUGUGGAAUCAGAGAGUUAGAAGAUUGAACCGUGGUCUUCUUUGAGCCAAUGUAAAGUGGCUGAGGAUCGUCCUUGAUGUAAACCAAGGCCUUGAUGAGCUCCACAUUAUCAGUAGGGGCAUUGAAUAGUCGCUGCAGCCUCUGAUACUCUCUAAUUUCCUCUGCAUUCAAAUUGAAACUGAUGAGAACGUUAGUCUAAUAUUCAAAGCAUAAAUAUCACAAAUUGAAAAAUUAACAUUUACCCUUUUUUUGCUUGUAAUCUUCGUAAUGUCUCUUGAUAGUGUGGUGGGUCAUGUUCACUUUCCGAACAAAGGUCGGAAGAUCUUUUCCCUUGUAGCUGAAAAUAACAGGAAGCCCUCUUUAAGAAAAAGAAAAAAAAAUGCUCUCCUUUAAAAUUCGAGUAUGUUGAAAUGCUUUUAGAUGAUUCAUUACAUAUUUUCAUAAAAUAAAAUAAAAGCCAUAAAACAUGUUUCUUUUUUCCCAAAAGAGACACAAAGAAAGGGAUCAUUAAUGGCUCGUACUCAUCGAUGAGGCUGAUGAGGCUGGUGAACUGAAUCGAGCAAGCGAGGACACUGAUGAUGAUCUGAUAAACGCUGCUUGGGAUGUCGAUUGCUGUGGAUAGCUCGGGAACGUCUUUACUGUCGUGCUCGAACUCCACAAUGCACUCGGUCAUGCUCAAUGUGGUCUUGAUCAUUUCAUUCAGAACUCCAUACACUUGGAUCUUUUGCACGUCCGAGGGCUUGGUGAUUGCAGGUAACCCCUUCAGUAUGGCUAGCGAUUCCGCAAGCUUGUCCGAUGGUUGGAUCUGAGCAAGUCGCCAAAAGUCGCCAUAGAAUAGAGCAAGCGAUGAAAGGGUAAUCACAGCCUUAUUGACCCAGGAGUAGCUUGACAGCUCAUGAAAGAUCGAGAUCAUCGUUUCACGCACAUUUUUGGUGUCUAAUGCCUUGCAUGUGAUCUGAUAACAUGAUGUUGAUAAUGUUGAUAAAUGGGAUUAGUUAUUACCAAGCUCAAAACAGUAAAAAAUAGCCAAAGCAACAGCAAUUCUUCACUUAACGAAAAUAAAUUGUUAGAAGGGACAUAGUAACAUACCUCACAAGCCACUUCGUUGAUUGCGGCUAGGGGUGGAUUGAAGCCUUCUUUUGGUGGCUUGAAUGCAGGGCCUCCAGAUCCUUGAGUGCCCUAUAGUGUAUGCAUAUGUAAGACUUAUUGUUAGAGAGGGAGAGAGGAAGGGAGGUACUAAUUAAACGAAAUUAUGAGAUUUUUUUUUUAACUGCUAAACUAAGGAAAUCCACAGUUAUAUCAUAGAAAUUAUGUAUAGAGAUAUGAUCAGAAUUUAUAUCUAAAAAAUCGUCAGUUUUUAUUAAAAAAGUCACUAGUGAUGAAGGUAUAUAUUAAGGUGCAAUUGUUUCGUGUAAAAUUUAAAAAACUUUAAACAUUUUAAGAAUGAUUUUUGCCUUAUUAUUAUCAUUGAUAAUAAUAAAAUUUUAUCUGAUUGAUUUUGUAAGUGUUAUAGAUUCCUCAAUUUUCAGAAAAAGCUUAUUAAAUCAUACUAAACAAAAGAAUUCUAAAGGUAAAACUAAAAGAAUGAUUGUCCAAACCCUACGGAAAUAGGGAAUAAAUGAACGCCCUUAACAAAAUACAGCUAUAAUAAAUUAAAUGAGUAACAACUUAUCAUGAGGCCAAUUUAAUCCCUUAUGCCAUAUUGACUAUCGUGUCGUUGAAUGAAGAAUGAAUAGAUCAAUAAAAAGCCUCACAAAAAUUGACUGCAAGUGCUAGUGGAUUGCUUCCUGGUUAAGAAAAGUGAUUUUUUUAGCGAAUAUCAUUUAACUUUACGGUUAGAAGAUUCUCUAGCCAUUCGACCUUUUGCAACAUAGUACACAUAAAUGGAAGAGCGGAUGCGAAACAUGAAAAUUCGAUAUAUUUUUAGGGGGAUGAUAAUUGAUGGCUGUCUUUUCUCUUGAGCCAUCAAUAGUUCUACUUAGGGCGCGUUUGGUAACGUUUUUGUUCCUGGGAAAAAAUAUAAAUUUUAUUUUAUUUUAUUUCUGGGAAUAACUUUUAAGCAUUUUAAACCUUUUGAUAACUAUAUAAAAUUUUAAUUAUCGAAAUAGAAUUGUGUUUGGCAUUGUCCUCAAAAUUGCUACUUCAAAUAAUUUUUUUUUUAAUUUUUAGAUAAUUUUAUUAUUAUUAUUAUUAAUUUUAAUUUCUUUCUCCCCUUCUUCUUCUUCAAGGUUGCUGGCAACAUCACUAGAGUGUCCCCGGCCCUCGGUGAGGUCGUGCCUCAUCAGUUGAGCCUCGCCGACAGUUAGGCAAGGCUCAGCUGAGCUUUGGUUGGGUGAGUGGCCUCGCCAGUGGCUGGAAGAGGCCUAGCAAGGCUCGCCUGGCCACCAGCGAGGCUCGGCCUCACUUGAUUUGAUGAGGCUAAGCCUUGCUUGCUGGUGGCUAGGCGAGCCUCCGGUGAGCUUGUCGGACCUUGUCCUAGUCUGGCGAGCUAUGGCGAGCCUCCAACGAGCUCGCCAGACUAGUCACCGGCGAUUGGCGACAGUGAGCGGCAUACGGUGGAUGGCGGCAAGAGCAAUUGAAGAAGAAGAAAGAGGGAAUAAGAACAAGAAAAAAGAAAAGAAAAGAGAGAAAAUAAGUGCUUGAUUCUAAAAUUGUUCCCAGAAAUAAAUAAUCAACUUUUUUUUUAAUUCUCGAUUCUGUUUCAAAUCAAUUUCCGAGAACAAAAAAAGAAAAAUUUGUUUUCAAUAACAAAAUUUUCACCAAACGCAUUUUUAUUCGAAAUCUACUCCUACAUACAAAAGAAUUGAAAUUUUCACUACCGGGCAAAUUAAUAAAUAGACUCUUAUAAAAAUAAGAUUAAUUAAUUCUGUCCGAUGCAAUUUUCAGAUCAAUUGCUUUAUCUUUCUCGUUUGUCCUUGGCCAUGUCAAAAGAUAAAAAAAGCAAGUAGAAAAAGGGCCAAGCGGGGUGGACAACCAACGUGCUUUUGCCCAUAGCUAAAUAAUGCAUGUCUAUCAUAUCGAUUGCUUUCCGACCAAAAAAAAAAAAAUCAUAUCGAUUGCUUUAUCUUUAUCUUUUCAUCCUGGCGAAGUCAAGGCAGAAGCAAGUACAGCAUGAUCUAGAGAGAGAGAGAGAGAGAGAGGGAGACCGGGAGAGAUGUCACGUCAGUCCCUUCUGUCCUUGUUAGAUUGGAUAGUCUUCAUCAUAAUUGUACGUGGCAUAACUGUACUAGUAAAAUAUUUGGGUCCCCACCCAAAAGUUCUAGGUCCAUUAUUGUUGAGGAAUUUCGCCUUUAUUAGAUAAAAUAAGGAACAAAUGGACAAAGGUACAAUAAAAUUUCUAAUAUCUAAUAAAGUAUGUGGUAAGUGUGGAAGAUUGACUUAUGUUAUACACCAUACGCACAUUAUACCUCAACCUCUAGCUGAGAAUUCUUUUUAUCAAUAUUUUCACGUUACGACAAAUAUCGGAGUGGAUAAAAGACAUCCGAUGUAGAGUUAUUUUCGGCCAAUCAAAUGCAGUGUUGGGUUUGUUUGCGAAAGAUGGUCAAAUUCACUACCGCUUACACCAUAAAUGCACCCUUUUGAUAGAUUGUUAAGCUUACUUAGUAAAACCAAUUUAGACUGUAUCUCUCACACGCCUCCACACAUAUGGCAUUAUUUCAAGUUUUACCUUAGGGUUGAUGACGGAGUCGGCGAUUGUGGCAGUUCCACGGAGGGCGUUGUCUACGAGAAGGAAGAGAGACUGGACGUCAACGUCUCCUUCGUCGGGAGCGUGAGUGUCCACCAUCUCCUUCAUGAACUUCUCGUCGUCGAAGAUGGCAAGCAGGCUGUUCAACAUGCUCUGGUCAACCUUGCUCCUCUCCCUCCGGAGAAUCAGGCCGAGGGUCUUGCUCGCCAUGAUCUCGAAUCUCAAAGAAAUAGAGCAAGAGGAGAGAGGCUAGGCUUUUGAGUGUUUAGAAACUAGAGGAGGAAGAGAGUGUGUGGGCGGUGUGGUGGGGUGAGGGCAGGCUUGCUCUAUUUAUAGCCGUGGAGGCAAGGAAAGAGACUAGAGAUAGAAAAGAUUAAAUUUGAAAAAAUGUUUUUAGGUGAACGAAAAACUAUCCAAAAGAGACCAUCGGCCAUUGCAGCGUGGAUGGUAGAUCUUUUGUCCUCCACCGAGGAGGUCAAGGUUCGAAGCCCCUGCGAAACAGGAAGGCUGAAGCGCUGUGUGGUGACUUGAGCAUGGCGUCGGGGUGGUGGUUUCUCUGCUAGUGAUACCUGGGGGUUUACGUGGCGGCUGUCGGCCAAAGCGAUUCCUCCAGCAUUAAAAAAAAAAAAAAACUAUAUAAGGUCUCGAUAGAUGAACUUGUCACUACAACCCUAACGAGGUGUAAGUGUGUAAAUAAGUCAAGCAUUGAACUCGGCACCGCCUUAGAUGAACCAAAGACUUUUGAGAUUGAGAUGUGUUCCAUAUUCAAAAUUGGAACCGUUUCUUCAUGUCCGUUGGAAUUAAUUUUGUAUGACUUGACCAACCACAUUACCAGCACAAGUUUCCAUUGUGAAGUAAUUCUUUUAUAGGUCAAUACCGCAAAAAAUUCCAAAGUAGUAUAUAUGUGACAAAUUUACCGAAACUAUUUUUUUUAUUAUUAAAAACUCUAAAUGGGUACAUUUCUCUUAGUGAUGAAUUUACCACUCAUCUCUACCAAAUUUAUGCUCAUCCAAUGAUGUAAGUGGUUUUUUGGUAGUUAAAAAAUUAGUUUGGGAUAAAUUUAUCACAAGUAUACAAGUUUAGAGAUUUUCAUGAUAUUAACCAUUUAGUUUUCAAUAUAUAUAGACUAUUUUAAGUAUGUAAAUUUCGAUACCAUCCAAGAAUUGUUGCAUUAACAUGCUCUAGUGAAAUUUCAUGUAAUCAUAAUUUGUAUGCUGUAAUAAUUCGAUAUACCAAUAAAUUUAUUAGAAUCAAUAAAUGCUGAGUAUUGGAAAUAAUAAUACUGAUUAUAAUUUAAUUUCAACAGAUUUAAAUUAAUUUACAAUUUUAUUUUUUUAUUUUUAGAAAUACGAUAUUCGUAGAAGUAUGCUUAUCAUUAUUAUUGUAUUCUAAGAUACUUCUCGGAUUUUUAGUUGCUCAUGAAUAACACGCAACAUGCACUUUGGAGCAACGGAUGAAGUAAAAGCAAUUUAUGACCAAACUCGCUCCCUACAAAGAAUUUUUAAAUCUCUAAGGUAAAGAAGUAAGGAGUUAUAUUGCAGAAUAAUUGCAAGAUGAAUUAUUAUUAUAAGUCCAAUCACUGUGGUUACUGAAUUAUUGAGUACAAAAUUCUAAAAAAGUCUGCACAAAAUGUAUAUUGUUGAGUUAUGUUUUCAAUUUUGAUUUCAAACUAGAAUGUAUUUUCUGAUAAGUGUUCAUCUAAUUACUGUGGUUUGAUUUCUCAUUUUACACGUUUUAACUAAAUCACCCAAUUUCUGAAAUCCUCAUUCAUUAGCUAAAUAUUGUCAUAGUUAUGUGAAUAAAUGAGUUUACAACUAUAACUUUGUCUAUGUGUUUGUUUAUCUUUAGAUGUAUUAGCCCAUGUUUGCACAUGAUAUUUUAUAUUAUUUAUUAGCAUUUCUUUAGUGACGGAAAUUUUUUUUUAUAGUAAUGGGAGAUGUUUUCAUAGAAUAAUGAUUUCUAGUAAUCAUUGGGAAGCCUUACCAGCUUUUAUAUGUUAUAAAACGGGAGGGAAAAUAAAAGAGAAAUUGGUUGAGAAAAUGGAGGGCGCGAUUCACGUGUCUGAUAGGACAAAGUGCUUUGAUUUUGCAUCGUCUCUUUUUGGUGGUAGGGCAAAGGUGCUUCAACUCUCAACAUCCCACCCCCCACGCCAGAAUAAUUCAUUAGCACUCCUUUAACCAGGGAAUUUCUUGGAUGCUCGAUUUGGUUAAUAAUUUUAUCAAGUAUCUUCAUAUAUAUAAUAUCAACGAUAUUGAAAGAUUUAACAAGUAAUAGUAAAGUCAAGUUUGACUCGAUAACUUACGAAUCAAACCACACACUAAUAAAUUCAAUUUAAUUUUGUAGUUUUGCACUCCUCCAAGUAAAAAAUUUAAAAUAAGUUGGUAGACACACCUAAAUUUGAAUACUUCCAGUAUUUAUUUAAACCCUAACCAGCUAAAUAGUUUGUCAUCUACCAAAUACUUUCACUUAUAGAAUGUACAACUUGCGAUUAUGUACUCAGUUUCACUAAUCUAGCAUUCAAUCAGCAAGUACACUGUGGAUCACUAGUAUCAUGUAUUCGCUUUCUCUUGUGCUCUUAUUUUCGGAAAUGGAUGGGUUUCAACCUCAUUUUUUUGUUUAUUAAGAAUGGGGUGUUUGGAAGUCUUUGGUCAUCUUAUUAAAUGAAUUUCACUCAAUGUCUUAUGCAUGUCAAUAGAUAAAGAGCAAGAAAUUGACACACGAAGUGACCCUCCAAAAGAAUAUGCAAGCAAGAUGAUUCAUAAUCAAUUUUAAAUGUGGAAAGAUCGAAAAAGAGGUCGCUCGAUUGGCUUGACCUGCCUUUCAUUGACGACUUUUGAGAAUCAAAUCAAAUCUUGUCCCCCACUUCAUAUCAACUUAGUUUCAGUGGUACAGUGGCUCCAUCAUCAUGUGUUUUCUUAGUCACCUGCCAAGGGCAAGAACGUGAAUGCAUUUGUAAGUUUGCUAUUGACCGAUGAAAGAAACAACGCAUUAAUCUUGCACUGGUGUCAUGAGAAGGAUGAAAUGGUCAAAAUUGCAAAAAUAAAAUGUAAAAGCAAUAGACAUACCUAUAAUCAUGAAUAGAGGCAAUAAAUGGACUUUUAUGUUACUUUUUUUGUAUAACAUAAUACGACUCAUUUAAAUCUUUCUAUUCCAUCAAUCUUUUAUAACAACACACAAAUCAGUUUGAUCCUAUGAUUUCACUCACCGAACGAGAGACAUAGUCUCAAAAAUUAUUCUUAGUUAAUGAAGUUACAAUUUGAGAAAAAUAUCCACCAAUCCAAAUCAAAUGCUAGACCCCUUUUCCUUUGGUUCCGAUAAGACUAGACCAUCAAUUGGUGUCGAGAAAAGUAUGUUGAGGGACGUCACCUAAUCACUCAAGCCAUUACGUCAGCACAAAACGGACAAAAAAUGUAGUAAAUUCUUAGAAUUACUUUAUGUCGUCGUGUUUCACAUUGAAAUGAAAAAUUAUGUUGUUUCUCUUUCGACGUUGAUGGGGGGACCAGUUUCUUUAUGUUAAUAAAGAGACUUUGGAGGGAUCAAGGAGAAAUCCAAGGCUUGUUAUUUUAUUGCCUCGAUAGGCGGAAAAAACUGGGCCCAAUUUGGACGUGUUGAAAUACAAACUGACGAGCACUCAUAAAAAUCUCUUAGAUUCGAGACAAUAUUUCUCUACUUUAUUAGAAAAAUACAUAUCAUGAACCUUCAUUGUUUAUCCUCAUGGAAAACUCUACUCUUACUUAUUUAUUUUUAUUUUUAUGAUUAAUACUAGUAAAAAUUCCAAAUCAGUAUCCAACCCAUAUCUAUUGUCCGACAUAUAUAUGUACCAUACAUAUUAAUUUUAUAAUUUGACGUAAAAAAAUUGAUGUGUUUAAUAUAAAAAAAAAAAUAAUGAAGACGUUACACAAAAUGUGGCUUCAAUGGAAAUAUAUGAAUUAGUGGAUGAAUCUAACCAACAUAAAAUAUUAAAAUAGUUGUGGCAAAAGAAGAAGUGCUCAACAAGUUUUAUGUUUUUCCAGCCUUAAAGCCUUCCAAAAUAAAGAAAACAACAAUGGCUAAGACUAAAGACACUCAAGUUUGCACGUUCAACAUUAAUAAAUUGGACAAAAUCGUUGAGUUAUUUUUGAAAGAUGGCCCAAAUAAUUAAUUGAAGGCCAAGUAAUUUCAAGAAAGGAAGACUUAGUAAACAAAUUGCAAGUGAUGCCAUUCAUUGAGCCAUACGUCAAUUAUUUGUCCCUAAAAAUAAUUCAAGAGGUAAUUGGGUAGCAAGCAAUCAAAUUUACUGAUGAUAAUGGGGUAUAUGAUGACUCUUAAUUAUCUAACUUAAAAGAAAUGAAUGGUUGAUAAAUCAUUCAAUUUUUUUAUGAGAAAAUGUCCAAAUGUUAUAGUCGACAAUUUGGUCGAUAGACACCGUUAAGGUAGUGAAAUUGAUGCAACCAUCGAGUAGUGAAAUUGAUGUAACCGUUUAGUAAUAGAGUCAUGUAGUCAUUCAUGUAACCGAUGAGUGAAGAAGUCUUGAUAAUCAUUUGUAACAGUCGAUUGCGAGCUAUAAAAUCUCACACUUUACUCUUUGUAAAGGACUAGAGUGCAAUUAGUGUAACUAUAUCUUCUAGGUACAUAUAGGAAUUCGAAUUAUACCACAGAAUAUUCCGUUGGGUGGAUCCGUCCGAGCCCCAUUUUGCAUUGAACCAUUGGAUGAGGGACACGUUCGGCGAAAAAGAGCAAAUCACGUGGAUCUGUUUCCAUAUCGGGACGUACCAUGACAGUGAUCGCAGUACGCUGUUUGUCUCCAAACGUGCUCCACGCAUCAACCGUUUUGGACGUACCAUUCGGACAAAUUUGUAGUGAGAAACCGAGAAGAGACCUCCAUUUGCCUUUGUGGACCCAAAAAACACGGCCUUGAGUAGCCAGCUGAAAGAGACAAUGAAUGCAUGUCUCUUCGUCGAUAAUCCUAACACGUGCUAAAAGAGAGGGGAAUCUAUCAUGGUUAAUAACGAACGAUGACGUUUGACGAUCAAGUUGGUGAUGAUGUUCGUAGCGCCUGUCAAUGGUCCCCUAAUUUCCCAGAGAUUAUUAGCAACAAACCCCUUGUGCCGCUACGUUACCUUGGAUGAUACGGCACAUUCUAAUCUUUCAGAUAACACUCAAGCCAUCACCGUCAGCGCAAAACGGACGAAUAUGCAGUGAAUUCUCGGAGACAUUUGAUGUUUGUCGUGUUUCAAAUAGAAAUCGAAAGAUUAUGUUUGUUUCUCUUUGCUGUUGAUGGGGAGAACCAGCUUCGAUAAUUGCAGUAGAUUGGGAACGAGUGACCAAAACGGAGACACGUUUCAUCUGGAUAGAUAAAUAGAAGUUGGAGGGGACCAUCGAGGAGAUCUAGGGUUUUUUUUUUUUUUUUUUUAAUUUAUAGGAUCGGUAGGCGAAUAAAAAUGGCCCAGAUUGAGCGUGUUCAGAUAGCACUAAUAAAAAUCUCUCAGAUUCGAGACAGUAUCUUUCUACUUUAUUAGAAACUUCAACGUUCAUCCCCGUGAAAAACCCUACUCUUACUUUCUUUUUAUGGUUAGUAUUUAUUUAAAAUGCCAAAUGGCAUUUCCAGUAUAGAUAGAUUUCCACCCACCGAACAUAGUGUGUGUGCUAUCAAAAGAUGAUCACAAACUAGUGACAUUGAAUGAUAUAUAUAACACAUAGAUUUUCUAUGUUGAAUUUGUCAUUUUUCAUAUCAUCUGUCACGUGUGUUAACACGGAUACAUUUUGAUAGGAUAUAGAAUGGAAUGACAUGGGUGGUAGAUUUGGGUCAGGGUACCAAUUUGGGCCCUUUGUUAUACAAAAAUUAAUUUGAGGUAGAUGUGUCAUAAAGUUAUCAAUUUCAAAUGUUUUGUAAGACGAAAAUCAAUAUAAGAUAAACAUGUCAUGAGGAUAGUGUGUAGAAGUGGUGGCAUGUCUAGGGAGCCACCACCUUGUCGUGGUGCUCCUUGACCGCGGCAUCAAAGAUCUUGCCAUCCAAUUAUUCCUGGAUCUCAUACCCCAUUACGUUUCUUCUUGUCUUCACAGGCUUUAAAUUUCUGGACAACUUGGAGAUAUUCCUCCUAGUUUUCACUCCCUUCAGCCCUAUUCAUUAACUCGGUGAGUCUUCCUUGUAGAGAGAGAAUCUCACAGGAUGUGGUUAUGAAUUUUUUGCUACUCCAUCGCCUUAGUACAUCAGUUACCUUCCUUGUUUUGCCCACAAUAUCUAGUUGGUAGCCUUCCUCAGCUCUACAGGCUCUUUGGAUCACUUUUUUUAUGUACAGAGUUUUCUACCAAGAAAGCUUCAAAUAUGAAUUUCUUCUUUUUUCCUCACCCCAAUUGCAUCUGAUUGCAGAAAAAUCAGACGAUUUGAACCAAUUGCUGGAGAUGCAUAUGCCUUUGCAUUAGGGAAUGAGACUCUCCAAUCCAUGUUGCAAAGAACCAUAUCAAGUCUUUUUUUUUUUGACAAGUUUAGGGCCUUCGUGGUUUUUAGUCCAUGUGUAAGUGCACAUUCGCUCUCUAUAUCCAUCAAUGAACAAAAAUUCAAGAAAUCCCAUAAUGCAACCAUUCUAUAACUAUCUAUUUCACGUUUUCUGACUUUUUCACACUAAUAGAAUACUUCAUUGAAAUCUCCAAUACAUAGCCAUGGGAGACAAAUCAAGACAUGAAUAGACCGUAAUGUUCGCCAUAAUUUAACCUUUCUUGGUAAUUAGUAGAAGCAUGAGGGAAAGAAAUUUUCAUGAUAACUCCCUAUUUUGAUCAUUGCAUCUAACGUCAAUGAGUUCUUCGGUACUUGUUUCUAAAUUCACCUUAACUUGAGGUCGCUCAAGGAAAUCAAGUAACAUUUUCCUCUCCUUUUUGAGAAUACUAUAAUCGUAGAAGUAUGUUUAACAUUAAUAUUGUAUUCUAAAAUACUUAUCGGAUUUUUUAGUUACUUCAAUCUUUUUAAAUAAGACAAAUAAUCCACUAAAGAAUUCCAUGACUACUCUGGAGCGACGGAUGAAUAAAAAGCAAAUUGAUGACCGUCGCGAUCUAAAUUUUCAGGGGCAAUCCUAAAGUUUAGGUUAAUGGAUUACUAAGUCCGAAAACUUGGCACGGACCCUCCCAAGUCCUACUAAUCGCGACUUGAUGUUAAGAAAUUUAAACAUGCAAUUAUAUUCAAUUUGGAGCCGCCACUAAUCAAUUAGGGUUGAUUAGAAACCCAAAUAAAGUAUGGAAGAAUACUUUAUUUUUACGAACCAGAGAUUCAAUGAGUCCGGAGACAUGAUUACGCUAAAUUAGUCUAACGCCCUUUCGGUACAUUUUAUUUUAAUUUCAAAAAUAUUUUGCAGGUAAUGUUGAUUAAUUUUAACCUAAAUUACUAACAUGCAAAUUGUGGUCAUGCGGGUGCACAAUCAAUAACAUUCAAUAAAAAAUGUUAAUAAAAAUGCAUGCUCUAAACAUGAUUUCUAAAUGACAAGACACCUAAUUUUUCUUUUUUUUCUUUUUUUUUUUAAAAUGUUAAUUAUAUGCAAUCUUAAUCUAAAUUUAAUAUGCAUAGAUUUAUUUUAAAUGACAUGCGAGAUGCAAUUCAUAUGGUAUGACUUAAACUUAUCAUUAUAUGUAUGCAAUUUAAUUUAUAUAAUUCUAAAUAUGCAUGUGCUACGUGAUAUGGGAUGAAUGACAUGGUAAAUCUAUAUGCAUGUUCUUUUUAUGAUUUUUUUUAAUGAUUUUUAUACAUAUAUGCAACCUACACUAAAUAAUGAUGAUAUGAAAUGAGAUUAAUUAUGAAUUAACCUAUUAACUAACCAAGGAAAUGAUCUUUAGUUUUUUUGAUCUUUUAAUGACAUAAUUUUUUUUAUUGAAAAUAAAGUAACUUAAUGGUGCAAUGAUCAUCUUUUAACAUUUUCCUUUUUAUUAAAAAAUAAACUAUAACUCACAUGGCAUGCAUAACAUUUUUUUUGUUUUACUAAAUGAAAAUUGAAUUAAUCUAAAACUAAUUAGACUAACUAAAGUGAAUGAUAUUCUAAUUUAUUUUAGGAAUCAAUUUAACUUAAACUAUAUUUUAUCCUAAAAGUUAUAUAAAAAAUCAAGACAUGCUAACAUUAUUUAAAAUUAGCCCUAACAAAAAUCACCCAUCUAAAAGUAUAAUCUAAAAAUUAUAAUCCUAUAAAUGCAAUUCUAAUUUUACUAACCCUAAAAAUACAGUCCUAAUUUACUAAACCUAAAUGCUCUAAUGCAAUAUUUACUUUUUGAUUUUUUUAAUCUUUCCAAACAAGUAAUUAUUUUAAAAGAAUGAAGAUAAUAAUUAAAAUAAUCGAAAAAAUAAUCCGUUGUCUCACAGAUUAAAUUAACAAUUAUUUUAACUCUAUAAUGAUUUAACAAUUGAAAUGCUAUCAAAAUUCCUAAAAAUUAAAGUAAUUAAAAAAAUAACCCGAUGUUUUACGGGUCAAAUUAAUAAUUACCAUAAUUUGGGAUAAAAUACAUGCAAUUAAUGCCUACAAGAUUUAUAAAAGAAAAGCACAUCUCAAUAUUCUAAAUUGAAUAAUAAUAACAAAAUAAAUAAAAUAAGAUAAAAGUUAGUGAAAAGUAAGAAUAAAAAUUAAAAAUUAAACCACCUAAGGGAAGGUGAAAAAACAGCAACGUGGUAAUCCGCCGAAGGUCCGGCGAGGGGCGUCGGCGGGCGUCGGAGCUCUGGCGAGGGUGGACCGGCGGCGUUAGCAACCUGGCAGUAGGGGUACGGCAGCAAUUGGCGUCACUCGGAGAGGAGGGUGGCCCGGAUCGGCGUCGAGCCGUGGGUGUCGCGGCGUCAAGGGAGGCCUGGUGCUCGGACGAAAGUGGGUCACGGCUAGGGGACAUGGUUCGCGAGCUGCGGAGCGUCGGGUCGCCCGAAGCAGGAGCGGCGGUGCUGGUGCAGUGGGCCGUGGAGCGCUUCGUGGGUCCGAACGGUGGUGCGGCUGCAGGUGGAGCAGAGAGCAGAUCUCCGGUGAAGCUAGGUAAUGCUGAUGCGGCGAGAUAGAGCAGGGAACCGGCGACUGGGGGGGCGUCGGUGCAGAAGAAACGCCGGUGCGGUGGCAGGCGUGGAAUCGGUGACUGGAGGCGUCGCUGGCGACGAUCGACUCGGGCGGAUCAACGGUGGCUUCGCGAACAGGGACACUGCGAGGCGUCGGCUCGGCGUUCGGUGGGGCGCAGACAGCAGCGGCAGAAGAGAUCGGGCAACAGGGGAGCCCGGAACAUAGCAGGGGGCAGCCGCGGCUUCGCUGGUCUCGUGGGUUGGGCGGAAACGAAGCUGAGGCGUUGCUGGUGCUCGGGCGCAGCUGCUGGCGUCACGGGAGGAAAGCGCUGAAGGUCGACGGGGCGGCGCCUGGUUGCUGGUGGGCCGGCGAGGAGAUCGGCGGCUGGUAGAACGGCGAGGAGCUCGGCAGAAAAGGUGCUCGACGAGCAGAAGCUUUAUUUUUUUUUCUUUCUUUUCUCCCUCUCUCCUCACGUCUCCAUCACUCUGCUCUCUCUCUCUCUCUCUCUGUUGCUGUCAACAGAGAAGGGAAAAAGCUUAUGCUCUUCUUUCUGCAGAACCUUUUCAGCUUUUGACUUUUCCUUCACAAAAACUCAUUUCUUUGGUGAAUGUUUUGAAACCGAAUGGAAAGCCCCCUUCACACUUUUUCUUUCUCUUCAGUUUUCUAUGUUUUUCUUCGACGAAAGACCAAGAGAAGCCCCCCCUGAACGACAGAAUUUUUGCUCUGAAUUUUUUCGAAUUUCUUCCCCCCGGAACAAAACAGAAGAAGCCCCCUAUUUAUAAAGUGAAAGCUCGAAUUCAUUUCGCAGGUGAAGAUUUUCUCUCAACCUUUCAACAACAAAGUGGCUCCAAAAUCUCAUGGUUGAGUUUUUGAAUUCAAAAUUUUUUUUUUCAAAAUUUCCCUUUAAUCAAAUAUUAUAUUUUAUUUUUUAAAAAUUAAAUUUAAAUAGGUGUCAACAAUGACCAAACUCGCUCCCUCCGAGUCAUGAAAUCUUUGCAUGAGUAGUAUUUUAUGUUCUAUAUUGGAAAAUUCUUAAAGCAGGGUUAUGGGUAUACAAAGCGAUGUGCGUAUUAAUUAGGAAAUAGAAACUUCAUCCACUCGAUUUAACAAACCCGAUUUCUCGUAAGAUCCGGACUCAAAAUAGAAAAGGACAUCAGACUCUUUUGUGUAUAAAGUAAACUGGAACUUGGCUCUCUCUGAUGAUAUAGAAAAGGAAGGACAAGUUGCUCUCUCUCUCGAUCAUAACGUCCGUAAGUUUUUAAUCUCCCACAAGUUAAGUUAAUUAUAACCCUUUUUUUUUUCCUGGAAACCAUUUGGAGACUUGUUGCUCGCUUAUGAUUCUGACAUCUUAGAUUCCUGAAAUUUCUUGAUCAGAGAGAGUUUCUUUUUUUUUGGUUCCUGAUCUCCGGAUGUCUAAUGUAUAAGAGAACAUAUGAUUGGUUGACGAAUUACGAAUUCAAACUGAGUCGAUGGAUUUAGAGGAUAGCCGACUCCAAUUUCAUUGGUGAAUUCAAAUGAAGUUGAUAACAUUAUCAAAUGUUUACCCUUGCACAAUACUGACAAUACUCAAAGAUUUGACUUUAAAUGGUAACGUCAAGCGUGAGUUGAUAGCUUAUAAACCAAACUGCACGUUGGUAAAUUCGAUUUAAACUGUGAAUGCUUUUGUAUGUUCGCCAUUCACCAUUUAAAGAAACGGCAUUUCAAUCAUGCGUUGGGGUCAUAAGAAUAUCUGAAUUUUUUUUCGGUUUAGAUUACUUUUGAUAGACGGCCACAAAUAGAUCUAUCCACUUAACUUCAUCAGCAAAAUGGUCGUGAUAGACAGAAAAGAUUAUUCCGAGUGAAUGGCGUCGUAACUUGAGCAUAAUAUCGAUUCAUCAAUUAACACCAUCGAAUAGGUUAAGGGACGUCACCAAAUCACGCAAGCCAUUCCGCCAGUACAGGACGGACAAAUUCAUGUAGUGAAGUCUCGGAAACAUUUGGUUUCAAAUUGAAGAGAAAAAUCAACGUUGUCCCUCUUUCGACGUUGAUGGGGAGACCACCUUCGAUGGCUGCCGUAGGAUGAGCACGAGCGACCGGUAAGGCAACGCGUGUGAUCUGGAUAAUGCAACAAAAAAUCAACCACGUUUUCUCUACUUUCCCCCCCUCUCAACUCCCAUCAUGUCCAUUUUCGAAGCGCAAGGAUGAUUCGCUCUUAUACAAGUACAUAUACAAAAAUACACAACAUUUUUUUUUUAAAAAUUCACACGGUAUCCUUCAUUAGCUUCAAUGAGAGGCGCAUUGGAAGACAAAGUGCCUACUUUCACAUUAUUGAAAAAAUUAUCCAAAAAGUCGUAAAUCUAUUUUUAAUUUUACCAUUUUUUUGGCAUAAAUUUUAUCAAUUGAGUUUUAAAAUUUUUUCACGUUUUGCCAAUUAAGUCAAUCCGAUUAAUUUUGAUUGGAAAUUGAUGACGUGAACAAUUUUAAAUAAUAUUUUAAUAUUUUUUGAAAGUUUUUUUUAUUCUUUUUUCUUGUGACCCUCGUUUAGUUUGGGCGAGGGCCAUGCUGUUCUCGCCUAUGGCCGAUGAGGGAGUGAAGGCCCUUGCCACAGGGGAGGGCAUGCCAAAUGGCAAGGAUCGUAGCCCUUGUUCAGACUAGGCAAGUCAGUCGGCGAACUCGCCCACCUCAGGUUAGAAAAAAGAAAAAAAGAAAAAAAAAGAGAAAAUAAAAUAACAAUAAUUUAGGAAAAAAAUAUCAAAUGUUAUUAAAAAUUAUUCACUUCAACUCUGGUCGUGCCACGUAGGACAGCCAACGUCCAUGUUAUUGAUGUUAGGCCAAAAUUGGUCGGAUGAACUUAUUUGGCAAAAUGUGAAAAUGUUUAGGACUUAAUUGGUAAAAUUGAAAGAUUUAUGAUUGAAUUGGUAAAAGUGCAAUAUGUUUAGAACUUUUUGAAUUAUUUUACCCACAUGGGUCUAUUGUUACAUUGGAAUAUUAUGUUUUCCUUGUAAAUUAGAAUAAAUACAUACAUAAAAGUAAAGGAAAAAUGAAAAAACAGCUAUUGUUCAGACAACUUUGUUAUGUCAACCUGAGACGGACCGACGACUUCCAUUGUCUUUUGUCAACCUAAAACACAGCGUGAGUCACGAGAUGAUAAGUGCAUUUUUUGGCAGUAUCUUGAACAGGUGCUGAAAGAGGAAGGGAAUCUAUCGUGACUCUCUUUCGUCUUCUAGAGUGACUAAGAACGAGCGAUAACCAUCACAAUGAUGUGAGCAGUAGUGUCUUCGACUGGCUCCCUUAUCUACAGGAGAUUAUUUGCGAAGGGCCUUGAAUCGCGAGGCUUCCUGGCUUUGGGCGUUGUAAUCUGCUGACCUAUACCGAGUGGGCACAUUGUUUUGCUUUUAUCAAGUCAAAAGGCGCCUUUUGGAACUAGCCAGAGGGUGAAAAUGCAAUAUAUGAAAAGAUAAUUUCUCAUGAAUAUGGACAAAAAAAUAAUAAUUCGGAAAUUCAAAAAUUUAAGUGUGGCCUAGCAAAGUAGCAAAGUGUCCAGAUUUAUCAAUAAUCAUAAAAAGAAUUCCUAAUUGAAUCUACAUAUAAAACUUACACGUCUACAAAGUUUCGAAUAUAAACUCAAAUUUCGAAUGUUAUAAAAAAAAUUAAUAUAUAGAAGUUAGAAGUCUAGAGAGUCGCACACUUUAUUGAAAAUGUAUGCUUAUUGCGCCUUAGAUUGGCAAUAAUUGGAAUUAUGUAGCCUGUUGAGUUUGAAGUUUAUAAUUCAAGAGACAUUGAUCAGCAUUCAACAUUCUCAAGAUGCAUUUUUGAAAUAGAUUGAGAAAAUGCAUUUUGACCAUUCCAUGCAUAUUCUUCGAAAAAAGUAAGCAUUCAUAUGGUUUUUUCGAGAUCUCUCCAAGUUUUUCUUUAGAAUUAUAUAUUCAAAUUUGUCGAUUCAAUUAAUCCAUAUAGAUACAUGUAUACUGUCCCGCUUUGGUGCAUAAAUGCAAGUUUCAUCCAUAAAGUGACGGGCAUGGCCUCUAAACAGCAACGGAGCCAGAAUUCUAUUAAAGGGGGAGUGAAAAUCUAUAUGUACUCUCCUUGAAUCUUUAAUUAAUAUUUUCUUUUGUUACAAGUAGAAAAUAACAUCACGCAAUAGAUUGAUACAAAGAACAGGUAAUAAAAUAUUUUUUAAUCUUUUAUUGAGAUUGGCAUAAUGAAGAAUACCGUUGACAAAAAUUAUAAGUAGUUAUUUCAAGUUUACUUCGGGAAGUUUCAUCUUUAUAAAGAUUCCAAAACUUAUAACUUUAGUAUUUUGUUAGGUUGAAACCUGAAUUUUAUUAGAGAUCAUGAGUCUUUACUAGUGUAAAUUGGAAAUGAUUAUUUUAAGAAAGAAAUGUCUCGUUUCUAUCGUCAAUCACUAAAGGUGAACGAGGAAUUUAAUGUUUCAGGCCAAUAAAUAAUUAAAAUAGUUAAAAACUUGCGGAUAUAAAAAUGAAUGGCCACGCCUUAACAUGAAAUUUAAGAGAUAGGCCAGAAGAUAUUCCUAGCACAAAAGAAAUUUAAUAAUUAGUAAUUUUGAGUUUUACUUGUGGGGGCUCAAGAGAGGCCGGAGCCCCUUGUUGUCCCUCUCUAACUCCACGGCUACCUUACAAGUUACUUUGUGUGGAAGAAACUGUGAUAUAAAUAUUCUAUCUGCCACAUUGAAACUGCACAUUUAACUUCCAAAAUUAAACUCGUAAGUAUGCGAUCUCUUUAACUUAAUGUUAAUCCAUAUAACUGAUCAACUUAAACAAAGUAGUAUCAUUUCAUUGAAAUUCUGUCGCUAAGUAUAGGUACGUAUCGACCCACAUGUUGUUGGCAAAACUAUUUUGGAGAUAUAUGAACAUUGUGAUCUUCACAGGUGCCAAUUGACAUAUACUCAAUAUUCAUCUCUCCAUCAAAUAUCUUGAAGGAGGCUAAUUUGACCCGCUUGUGCAUAGACACAUGUUAACUACUUCUUGAAAUCUAUGAAAAUUAAUCUUUUGGCUUUUGAUUAAUUUUCAUGGAUUCACACAAAUAGACCUGUGCACUUAACUUCAUUCUUAAAAUGGCCACCAUAGACUCAAAGAUUAUACCAAGUGAUUGAGGAUAAAUUGUCAAAAAAAAAAACCUAAACCAAUCGUAUUUUUUAUCAAUUUAAUUAUAAACAUUUUAAUUUUGCCAAUUCAGUUAUAAGCCUUUUCAUAAUUUGCUAAUUGAGUCAAUAUAGCUAAUUUUGGUUUGAACUCGUUGACGUGGAUGUCGGUCGUCUCUCAUGACACAACAAGUAUUGACAUGGAUUUGUUUUAAUAAUUAUUUAAUAUUUUUUGAAUUUACAUAAUAUCCAUCCAGAGCAAUCAACACCAUCGAAUAAGGGGGCGUUUGUUUUCGUUUCUUUUUUUUGUUCCUAGGAACAAAAAAGGAACAGAAACGCGUUUGGUUGCGUUUUUGUUCCAAAAUUAUUUUUUUGUUCCCAGAAACACAUUUGGAACAGAAACAAGAAACAAAAAAAGAUUGUUUCUUGUUUCUGAAACAAAUUUUAGAAACACUUUUCUUCUUCUUUUUUCUUUCUUUUUUCUUUGGCCGGUCGUUGGCCUCGGCCAGGGCUGGCCACCGGCCGUCGGGGGCCGGCGUACUCACCGGAGCGUCGCCGACCCUUGGCGAAGCUCGGGCUCGCCUUGGCUGGGCGAGCUCGCCCAGAUCCGGUGAGCCCGACCUCGCCUAGCGGCUGGCGAGGCUCGGCGUCGCCGGGCCACCGCUAAGUCGGCUCCUGGCGGUGGCCCGGUGAGGCCUCGCCUCGCCUCGCCCAGCCAGAGCCUGACCUCGCAUCGGGCUGGGCGAGCUCGAUCUCACCCAUAUCCGGCAAGGCCGAGCUCGCCUAGCAGCCGGCGAGGCUUGACCCUGAGCCUCGACAGCCGCGUCAGCCUCGCCCGACGACGGCCAGGCUAGGCCUAGCCUGGGGUGGGCGAGCCUCAGCUCGGCUUGGCCAGGCUGUCGGUCAUCUCCGGCCGGCCGGCCACUGUGGGCGAUGCCGGCCACCGGACCUGGGAAAAAAAAAGAAAAAAGGAAAAAAGAAAUAAGAAAAAAGAAAAAAGGAAAAAUAAAUAAGAAAAUAAGAAAGAAAAUAUAAAAAAUAUUAAAAAAUAAAAUAAAUAAAAGAAAUUAUACAAAUUUACCAAACGUGUUUCUAUUUAUUUUUUAUUCCCGGAACAAGUUUACCAAACGCGUUUUUUUGUUUAAAAAUUGUUCUCCGGAACAGAAACAUUUUUUUCUAUUUCUGUUCCCUGGAACAAUUUUUAAACAGAAAUGUUAUCAAAGGCGCUCUAAGCGUCCAGAAAGAUGUGUCGAGGGACGUCACUAAUAUCACACAAGCCAUCACGUCAGCACGAGGUGGACAAAGGAAGGGGAAGAUCAAUGCGGUCCCACUUUCGACGUGGAUGGGGAGAACCACCUCCAAUGACUGACGACGGGAUGAGAACGAACCAACCGGGAGACGCAACACAUGUUGUCUGGACGAUGGCCACACAGAAAUCAACCACCUAUGCUCCAAAACCUCGAGAGCGGACCACUCGAUGGAAUUUUCGCGUUUGUAAAAUAGGAUGUGUUCAAAUACCGACGGAUAAGCAGCGCUAGAAUCGGAGCCAAUGGCUCCAUUCAUCUUGAAAAAAAGUAAAUAAUAAUUUGAAAAAUAAUUUCCUAACUUGUAUUAUCUAUAAAAAUGAACCAACAAUAAAUAUUACAAAAAUAUUAAACUUUAAUUGUUUUAGAUAAUAAAAAUAUUUUUCAUUAACUAAUUAUUUUAUACCAUACUAAUAAUCAUUUUUAGGAAAAUGUUUUCGAGAUCGUUCAUUUUUUGCUAAGUAAAUGGAGCCAAUAUCUUUCUAUUUAUUUUUUAUCAAAAAAGUAUAUAUCGAUUUUCGUUUACAAAAUUUUACCAUGAAAAUUUCAUUGUUCAUCCUCAUGAAAAACUCUAGUCUUUUUUUUUUUUUUUUAAAACUAAUCAGCCAUCGAGUUCCUAGUUUACUCUACUUUCUCCCUCUCUCAGCUACCAUCAUGUCCAUUUCCUACGCGCACGGACGACACGCUCUUGUACAAAUAUAUAUACAAAAAUAUACAUCAUUUUCUUUUUAAUUUACAUGGAAUCUGUGAAAGCACAAUAUCACGAUAUCCAUAAUUAGAACAAGAACAUAAAUAAUAGAGUAGAGAAAUUAACGCAUUUAUUUUGGACCAUUGUUCUUGAUGUGGAAAAAUGAUGAUCCAAGUGCAAAUUCUUCUUUUCUAUUUCUCUCUGUAUUAUUGACUUAAUGAGACGGCCCCCCUCACCCUUAGUGCUUAGUAAACGCUCAAUGUGUGUUAAGGGUUAAAGGAGAGAUUUGAGCACUAUUUAUAGAGUUUUCAGCCAAGCUGUCUCGUUACGGGUUGAGCUCAACUCAACCCACACUAGCUAGUUUUAUAUUAGGCUAAUCAAGAAACCUUCUAUUUUACCUUGGACUAAUUUCAUAAAAUGAUAAAUUACAAUGUCAAUUAAUGUAUCUCAUAUUAUGAAAACUUUUACAUUAAUCACUUGCUUCAAUGAGAGUCACGUUGGAAGACAAGUGCUUUCACAUUGGUCUGUUAUUGCAUUGGGAUGUCAUGUUGUCCUCGUAAAUUAAUAUAAUUACAUACACAAAAGUAAAAAAAAAAAAAGUAUUAUUCGGACAACUUUGUUGUGUGAACCUGAGAUAGAGCUCCAUUGCCUUUGUCAAUCUAAAAAUGCAGCGUGAGUCACGAGAUGAUAAGGGCAUUCUCUAUCAAUAUCUCGACGGGUGCUAAAAGAGAGGGAAUCUAUCGUGACUCUUCAAUCUUCUGGUCGGCUGGUGGCCGAACACUAAUGUAGGAAUUUUUUUUUUCAACUUUUUUUAUUAAUUUUUUAUUUUCUUUUUCUUUUCCUUUCUCCCUUCUUCCUCUUUGGUUUGUCCCCGCAGUGGCCAAUGAGCCUCCAGCAAGGCUCGUUGGCCAUUGGAUGAGGGUUGCGGCCCUUGCCUAGGACUGUGGGCAAGGUGGAUUUGCCUGAAUCUAGGUGAAGCCAGCCUCGCCCUGGCCUUGCGGGCGAGGGCAGCUUCUCCCAUAGCUCCUUUAUUGUGGACAUGGACCAGCAGAGAGAUGCAUAGGUUCCCUAAUGUGCGCCAUGGCAACACUCAAACUUGACAAUGUUCCUCAUCAUGCGGGGACAAACCGGACACUUCACGUCCUCCGGGAUGUAGCCCACCAUGUUCGGGAUGCAGAAGUGGUGGCACCUCGGAAGGACGAAGACCCGCUCGCGGUGCUCCUUGAAGGCCGCGUCGAACGUCUUCUCGUUCCCUUUGACCUGCUUCUUCCAAGUGGUCUCGUACUGGGACAAGACCUUGGUGACGUCGAUUAUCGAGUCGUUGAUCACAACCUGCGACCCCCUCGUGAGGACCGCGAACCCACCAUCCUUUUUGAAGUUGGUGUAGAGGCAGAGGAUGUCCUGCAUGAGGGGUUCGUGCACAUCCGCUUUGGUUUGCAGUUUCGACAGCAUAAGGCUUUCGAGGUGGCUCCAGAAGAGCUGAUUUUUGGUGACAUUGUAGGCGGCGAUGGGGACGCCAUCUUCGAUGAUCUUCUUCACUAGCUCCUCAAUUUCGUAGAUUGCCUUGUUGUCUUCAGCUCCAUAAAGGAGGAUGUACCUUUGAGACUUGAUCUGAUCAGUGAUAAUCAAUCGGAUGAGUAAUCAAUGAAAUAAGUUUUUAAGGAUGGGUCCUCAUAUCUCUAUAAUACAAGCAAACGAUCAUGCUCUAGUUUCAAGUUUUCCACAAAUUUUCUGCAAAGCCUACCUCUAAAUUAAGAUGGGUCGUAUAUGUUAGCAGAAAUAAUACCCUCAUUUUUUUAUCUAAUAAAUCUUCCAAUUGAUUCUAAAUUUAAAUAAAAAUCUUUCUAACCCUCUAUCAAUUAAUUAAGAUCGCUUUAUAAUUUAACUCAGAGCACAGUUUUCUUCGUUAAGCGAAAGGGUAAAAGGAAAGUGAAAAAGAAUAAGAAAACAUAGAACUACUUACAGCUUCAUUUAUCUUAGGAAUGGCCAUGUCAGUCAACAAGAGCUCAAACCAGCUGAUGCCAGGCUUGCUCCAUAGGCUUGCUCCCACUAAUUCAGUGAAAGGGAAAGCAUCCCAUCCCCAAAGCCUCAUCAUGCUCAUGGCAUUUUUGUUUGAGACUCUUCCUUGGGGAUCCAACACAGUCACGAUGGUCUCUUGCCAAUACUACCACUUCUCCUUCAUGAUCUUGAUGGCCACCUUGUUGAUAAGUGUUGGGUAGCGCACUGAGUACCACGGCAUUUGCGACUAUAGAUUCUUGAACUGGUUGUUCAAAUCCUUGCAUUCUUGCUCGAUGAUCGGGACCCACACAAUCUCGUAGCGCUCCUCAUGGAACUUGCGCUCGCUGUAGAUCUUGAUGAGGAUGGCAGGUUGUGAGAGGUCAACUUUAGGUCGGAAAUCAGCAGCAUCACAUUUAUCCUCCGCAGGGACUUGACCUUAUCCUGUAUGUAGGGGAACGAUGAAGGAGGAUCAACAUUUCACUCCGUUGGUUGCUACCACUAGAGUCAACCACACAAAUUUACGCGAGGGCCUAAACUAGGUAUAUAAGUGCCACUUAGGUGAGAACAAAUGUCAUGUCUUGAUUUCAGCAAAUUAGUUGAAAAAAAAAUCUUUGACAAGGACGAGUUUACGACCAUAGCAUCAUUGCGGUACUCAACUAGGAAUACAAAGUUUGAUAAGGGUUGAGCUUCCCCAACUUACUGUUCACGGUUUCUCUCUAGAGGGCAAUUUGGUGACUGUUCCUGCUCUCAAGUUCGUUGCGGCUCCCGGAAGCUGGUGCCGACAAUUUGGCUUGAUUUUUUGUGUAGUAGCUCGCCUUCCCACCUGCUUCAUCCUCACUGAACAGAUUGUGCUGGUACGCUUUGCUUCUGCUUCAAUAGUCCAUUCGCUUUCGGGUUAGGGUUUCCCCUUCGCGAUUCCCGGUUCCCAUGGCUGCGUUCUUUAGUGCGAUCACCAAUUCGACAAUGCCCUCCUGGCGUCGAAAUCUACUUAUGGUCGAAGCCGGCUAAGGCUCUCUCUCUCUCCUCGUAAGCCUUCUUCCCCUCUUAAGGCCCUUGCGACAGGCUCGAUGGAGGCCCAUCUGGCUGCUUCCAAGGUCCCACAGGACAUGGGUGUUAGUCGUGGAUGGAGCUGCGCGCGACCCACCUCUAGACGAGUCCAGCCCAAUGAUCAGCAAGGGAAGGGCUCGAAACCCCCAUCAGCCCGAACAUGGGUAAGUGUUGCGAAUCUAGCUUCGAAGGGCUAUGAUUUGUCCUAUGUUCCACCCACAUUUGUUGAUAACAAGCUUGUUAUUACAUUGUUAGAGGAAAUUCUAGAGGCCAUAGACCCUAAGUGGCACGAGUGUCUUGUGGGAUACUUUGUAGGGAAAAAACUACCAUUUAAGCUGACCGAAUCAUCUUUAAAACAGGCGUGGAGGCAGAAUUUGGCUGAGGUGAUGGCUAAUGAGCAAGGUUUUUAUUUCUUCCAUAUACCUGACCAAGAGCUUAGAAGGAAGAUCCUUAAUGAGGGACCGCUUACAAUAGAUAGGGUCCCGUUAAUCCUCCAGCAGUGGCAGCCCUUUUUGGAGCUAAGGAAGGAUAACCAAACUUUCGUUCCAGUUUGUAUUAGACUCAAGGAUAUCCCCUUUGCUAUGUGGUCGGCGCCAGGGAUUAGCGUUAUUGCUAGUGCGGUGGGCAAGCCUCUUUAUGUCGACCUUAGAACCGAACAUAUGAAAAUGAUAUCCUUCGCAAGGGUUUGUGUUGAAAUCUUUGCUUUGCAACCUCGUUGCAAUUCUGUGGAUGUUGUUCUCAACGGGGAAACCCAUAUGGCGACCAUUGAGUACGAAUGGAGGCCAGUGUCGUGCCCAAGAUGCGGUACUUUUGGCCAUAGAUGUGCGGUCCCAGCAACUCCGACUGUUCGUGAAGAAGCUUCUUUUCAAGAUCCUACCUGUGUGAGCCUUGUUGCCCGUGAGAAGGCACUUGCCUCUGCUCCGCCGUUGUCUAUUGGUCUAGGAGCCUCAGAGAUAUCUUGGAAGUAGGUAGGAGAAAGGCAGAAGAAACAGUCUUUGGAGGGGAAGGUGCAGUCUGAGAUUCCUAGGGAGGCGUCUAUUGUCUCGUCAAGAGAGCCCUCUCCGGGGGCAAGGAUGGUUAGUGUAUCUCAAUCUACCCUGAAGGGUCAGAGUACUCUUUUGAAGGCUGGUGAUGCUUCCUCUCCUCCUGGUCCAACUAGUAAGGGUAGCAAGCAGGGAUCUUCAUCUUCUGCUUCAGUCGCAUGCUCAGAAGAAGAUCUGGAGAAUUUUGACGUCACUAGCUAGGUGAAUAGCUCGGAUAAAGAAGAUCAUGGGGUGGUGUGUCCUCCUUUCCCGUCUCUGCACCCUGCUAGAAAUAAGGACAAUACUUAGCAAGUUAAACCGCCGGAUCCUUCCCCUGCUCCACCUUCUCCUAUUGUCCCUAAGUCAGGGACUAAUCGUCAAAGGACGAGCAAACUGAGGUAACUCUAUCUCUGCCUCGUUCUCCUUUUUUGGGUAGUAGAUAUGUACAUAGGCUUUUGGAAUGUUACGGGUAUGGUGGACCCCUUAAGACAAGCUGAGGUGCAUAGCUUUGUCUAUUCAAAUAACCUCUGUUUUGUGGGUCUUUUGGAGACUAAACUACUGGAGGCUCUUUUUGCGACUAUUUCUACUAGUCUUUUGUCUAGUUGGAGUUGGUUGAACAAUUAUGAGUACUCCCAUAGAGGAAGAAUCUGGGUUGGUUGGAAUCCAAUGGAGGUGGAGUUUGAUGUUUCUUUGGCCAAUGCCCAGGCUAUUCACGACAGGCUCAAGUAUCUCAACUUUGGCGAGGUUUGUGAUAUCUCAGUUAUCUAUGCUGAUCAUACCUUUAUGACUCGGCAUCCUCUGUGGGCGGAGCUCGUUAGCACUAGCUCCCUCAAGCAGGAUACGACUUGGCUAGUUGCAGGCGAUUUUAAUGCCAUCAGAGACCCGUCCGACUGUGUGGGUAGUUCGGAUAUUUGGUUACCCUCGUUUGAUGAGUUUGGCCAGUGUCUAGCGGAGCUAGAAGACCUUAGGUAUGUUGGUUAUCAAUAUAAUUGGGUUGUUUCAUCUGGAGUCAACCAUAAACUAAGAAAGAUCAAUAGAAUACUUGUCAAUCACAAGUAGAGUUGUCAAAAUGGGUCAUUGACCUAUUUAUAAACUCAUAUAUGUUUAAAUGGGUCGUUAAUGGGUCAAGCUUGUUUCUCAAUGCACCCAUAAUGGGUUUUAAAAACAAAAAGACUGAGAUAUAUGGGUCUUAAAUGGGUCUGAGAGAAAACCCAUUUAAGACCCAUUUAUCAACCCAUUUACAAUUUCCCAAUGCACCUAUAUUCUCUUUUUCUUUUUUACUUUUCCUUUCUUUUCUUUUUUCUUUCUUCUUCCUCCGGUUGCUCGCAUGGCGACCGACCAAGAGCUCGCUGGAUCUAGCAAGACUCGAACUCGCCGGCGUCGGGCAAGGCUCGAGCCUCGCCGAUCUGGCGAGACUCGAACUCGUCGGCGUUGCGCGAGGCUCGAGCCUCACCAGAUCCGGCAAGGGGCGAGCUCGAGCUCGCCCGACGCCGGUGAGCCUUGAGCUCGCCAGAUCUGGCGAGGCGGAGGCCUCGUCAACAUCCAGCGAGGGGCGAGCUCGAGCUCGCCUGAUGCCGACGAGCCUUGACCUUGUAGGAUCUAGCGAGGUGGAGGCUUCGCCAACGUUCGGGGAGGCUUGAGGCUCGCUUGUGGUUGGUCGCCGGCCAUCGUUGUGGUCGGCGGCCGGCAAAAGAAGAAGAAGAAGAAGAAGAAGAAGAAGAAGAAGAAGAAGAAGAAGAAGAAGAAGAAAAAAAAAUAAAAUUAUAUUUAAAAAAUAAAAAAAUAAUUAAAAUUUGAUUUUUUAAAAUAAUUAUUUUAAAAAUUAUAAAAAUUGUCCAUUAAAUUUGUGUUGUAUAAAAUUAUUUUAGCAAUACUAUUUAAUAUAUAUAUAAGAAAUAAGCUUGGAAGUAUUUUAGUAAUAUAAUCUUAAAAAAAAACAUAGGAAUAAGUUUUUCUAAAUUUGGUUUAAUAUGAAAAUAUUUUAUUAAUAUGGGUUGGGUUGGGUAUGGGUCGAAAAAUUUACAUUAAGCAUAAAUAGGUCAUAAAUGAGUUAAUAGGUCAAUUUGAAUCGGAUCAUUAAUAACCCGACCUAAACCCGACUCGAGCCACCCAUUUAAUAGCUUUAAUCACAAGUGGAGCCAAGUAUUCUCCUGUUCGGAAGCUUCGUUCCUACCGCCAGGCAUCUCAGACCAUUCUCCAAUGGUUGUGAGAGUGUUGGCCCCUUUUUAGUAGAGGAAACCUUUUAAGAUUUUCAACUUUCUAAUGAAACAUCCACACUUUAGUACAAUUGUUACUUAAGUUUGGGAGCAACUGGGCACGGGAGUUCCAAUGUACAUCUUGGUUAGCAAACUCAAGAUUCUCAAGGGCCGGCUAAAGCAACUCAACAAGGAUUCUUUCUCGAAUAUCUCCACCAGGUCGGCAGAUGCUAGAGUUGCCUUACAGAUAGCUCAAUACACCCUUGAGCAGCACCCAACAAGUCUGGUGCUUGCUGAGCGAGAGAAUUGCCGGUUGAGGGAGUUCUCAACUCUUAAGGAUCAGGAAGAGUCCUUUAUGCAAAAGUCCAAGAUUAGAUGGCUAAAGGAGGGGGACCGGAACCCAAAAUUUUUCCACCAUUCGGUCAACAAGCGAGCAUUAAGAAAUAAAAUCCUUUAAGUACCGUGAUGAUGAGGGAAAUACAAUCACCGAGCUAGGCUUGGUUCGGCAGCGGUUUAUUGACCACUUUCAGGACCUCCUUGCACCGAGAGAACUACCAGGGCGUCCUUCUAUCUAGGAGAUUUGGGCAGUACUGCAACGUACCCUCAGUGAUGAACAGGUUAGAUCCUUAUUCCAACCUGUUUUUGAUCUAGAAAUCUAAGAUACUGUUUUCUAUUUGCCACGCGCUAAGGCCCUCAGACCAGAUGGCUUCAAUGCGGAAUUUUCAAUCUUAAUAGGGAGAUAGUUGGCUUGCUGGUUCUUACAGUGAUUAAAGACUUCUUCAAUUCUGGGAGGAUUCUUAGGGAGAUCAAUAAUACCAUAUUAGUGUUGGUACCUAAAGUUCCUAAUGCUUCCACAGUCUUUGACUACAAGUUGAUUGCGUGUUGCAAUACGAUUUAUAAGUGCAUUAUCAAGCUUCUGGCUAAUUGUUACUGCAGUGCUUCAGGAUGUAAUCAGCCUUGCCCAAAGUGCCUUUGUAAAGGGCAGACGAAUCCGAGAUAAUAUUCUACUCGCUCAAGAGUUAUUUAGUGGUUUCCACCUGGGGACUUAUUCGCUUAAAUAUGUUGCGAAAGUGGAUUUUGAAAAGGCUUAUGAUACUCUAGAUUGGGAUUUCUUAGAGUUUACCCUUUGUGCUUUUGGGUUUCCAGAUCACUUGAUCAAACUGAUCAUGAUUUGUUUUCACACUCCUAGAUUCUCCAUUGCCUUAAAUGGAGAGCUGCAUGGUUUCUUUGCGAGUGGACGUGAACUUCACCAAGUUGACCCCUUAUCUCCUUAUUUGUUUACUUUGGCUAUGGAGGUUUUUUUUUUUUCUAGAAUCUUUCUUCAUCAGUCCAAACAACCGAGUUUUAAAUUCUUCUAGAGGUGUAAAGACAUAGGCUUAUUUCACAUUUUCUUUGCAGAUGACGUCUUUCUCUUCUAUGAAGCAAAUGUGGCCUUGGUUUCCCUCCUCAAGGAAGGUUUGAGAAUUUUUUCAGAAUGGAGUGGGCUGAGACCCAAUCUAAACAAGAGUGAAGUUUUUCUUGCUAGGGAGACAGAGGUCAUUCGGUCCCAAACACUCCAUAUUUUUGGUUUUCAGGAGGGGAGGCUUUCGGUUUGCUAUCUUGGAGUUCCCAUCAUCACCACUAGACUUGGGAAGGCGGAUUGUAUAUUGCUUAUCAACCAUAUAACUGCAAUGGUGCAAUCUUGGACUCAAAGAUUUUUGUCCUUCGCAGGCUGGUUAUGACUUAUAAGGUUAGUCCUUCAUGCCAUGCUAGUGUGUUUACAAUUCCUAGAGCUGUGUUGGAUCGCAUUGAGCAAAUCCUAAAAUAGUUCCUUUGGAAAGGCCCUGGGCUGGGAAGAGGAGGAGCAAAAGUAUCCUGGGAUGAUGUUUGCUUUCCUAAGAAAGAAGGGGGACUAGGCAUACACAAGUUGCGGGAUUGUAAUAUUGCAUACAUGCUAAAACAUAUAUGGAUCCUAUUCAUCGACAAGGAAUCUUUUUGGUGUAAGUGGAUCCACUCGAAUUUCUUGAAGAGGAAAAAUUUUUGGGUUGUAAACAAGCCCACCAUUUGCUCGUGGACCUGGAAGAAUAUGCUCCUUCUUAGGAGGGAUUUUCGCAUUUUCUUCAAAUGGUGUAUUGGAGAUGGUUGUUUUGUCUCUCUCUGGUUUGAUUAUUGUCAUCCAAGAGGGCAUUUGAAUAUGUUAUUAUCAGACAACUACAUUUACCGGUCAGGUCUUUCUAGGAAGGCCACGAUUGCGGACCUUUUCUCUCCUAAGGGCUGUGAGGUUAGGAUUAUGGUGGAGGCGUGGGAGUUUCCCCUUCCCCCUAUAUCACAGAGGCUGGAUCGCUUCCAUUGGAUAGAGAGCAUAACUGAUACCUUCACGGUUGCGUCCACGUGGGAAACCAUUAGACCAAAAAGAGCUUUGGUCUCGUGGUACUCUCUUGUAUGGAGUAGCUCUCUCACUCUACGUUAUUAGUUCAACCUAUGGCUCAUUAUGAAGAACCGGCUUCCUACCCAGGUUCUUCUUUUGUCCUAUGGGAGGAUUGAUGACGAUUCCUGUGUUUUUGCAACUCUAGGUUGGAUUCUAGAGACCAUUUGUUUUUUUGCUGUCGCAUCACUGUAGCUCUUGCAGCCUUUUAGGCGGCUAGGUGCAACCUUCCUUGGAGGAAUGAUAUUUGGCAGCACAAUCUUCGGUGGGCCUUGAAGUACCUCACGGGCAAAGACUUCCACCAUAGCAUCGCUCAUUUCUCCUUUGGUACCCUGUGCCAUUUGAUAUGGAAAGAGAUGAACAAACAUCCUCUUUAGGGAGAAGACUUUGUUUAUUCCAGCCUUGAAGAACCACCUUAUUAGAGUUGUCAAGGACAAAGCCUUGACCUUUUCUAAUGUGGAAGACAGCACUCGUAAUAGGAGGAUGCAAUGUAGUUGGGAAAUUGACCCUUCUAUCUUCUCCCCUGUGGUGCCUGAAUAUGCCCUGUAAAUGGGAGUUGGUGGGUUCUUUAACUUAUGGGCUCUGGUACUUCUGUUGACCGGUCGACGGCUGCUCUCUUGCGUCUUUGCUUCGGUUUGGGAGAUGCUAACUCUCGGCUGCUUUGGUGGUUGGGUGUUGUUCCUUUGGAUGUGAUUGCGGGCGUAUGCUUCUGGUGGGUGUGUACUCUCUUGAUGCUGCUCUUGUUGGUGGAUGGCUAGUUCCUCCUCUGUUUUGCUACCUCUUGUGGGCUAGGUUGUUUGGUUUUUGUUUUGUAGCUAUUGUUUAGGCUACGUUGCCUUUGCUAGCUUUGUGUUUGCCUUGUCUGGCAGCUGUUGUUUGUUUUGUUGGCACCCUUCCACUUGUUCGGACUAGAUUGGCCUUACGAGUGUAAGUUUUUGGUGCCAGACUGUUUUGUAUAGUGUUGAUAAAAGCUCAAUAUAUUAUUUUUUUUUUGUACAAAAACAAAACAUAAAGUUUGACCCAAAAAAAAAAACAUAAAGGUUGUGGAAUUAGAGAGCUAAAAGAUUGAAUCGUGGUCUUCUUUGAGCCAAUGUAGAGUGGCUGACGAUCGUCCUUGAUGUAAACCAAGGCCUUGAUGAGCUCCACAUUAUCAGUAAGGGCAUUGAAUAGUCGCUGCAGCCUUUGAUACUCUCUAAUUUCCUUUGCAUUCAAAUUGAAACUGAUGAGUACGUUAGUCUAAUAUUCAAAGCAUAGAUAUCACAAAUCGAAGGAAUUAACUUUUACCCUUCUUUUUCUUGUAAUCUUCGUAAUGUCUCUUGAUAGUGUGGUAGAUCAUGUUCACUUUCCGAGCAAAGGUCGGGAGAUCGUUUCCCUUGUAGCUGAAAAUAAUAUAAAGCCCUCUUUAAGAAAAGGAAAAAAAAGAACGCUCUCCUUUAAAAUUCAAGUCUGUUGAAAUGCUUUUUAGAUGAUUCAUUACAUGUUUUCAAAAAGAAAUAAAAUAAAAGCUGUAAAACAUGUUUCUUUUUUCCCAAAAGAGACGCAAAAAAGGGGAUCGUUAGUGACUCGUACUCAUCGACGAGGCUGAUGAGGCUGGUGAACUGAAUCGAGCAAGCGAGGACAUUGAUGAUGAUUUUAUAAACGCUGGUUGGGAUGUCGUUGCUGUGGACAACUUGGGAACAUCUUUGCUGUCGUGCUCGAACUCCACAAUGCACUUAGUCAUGCUCAAUGUGGUCUUGAUCAUUUCAUUUAGAACUCCAUACACUGGAUCUCUUGCACGUCCGAGGGCUUGGUGUGGCAUCCCAAAAUUCAAGUCAUCCUCUAGAGAAAUUAAAGCCUAUAAUUAGGUAAUGAAAUUACCUAUGGUCUAUGUGUUAGCCAUUAGUUUUCUUAAGGCUAGGUGUUAUUGUGCUUGUGUUUAUGAAUUUUGAAUUUAGGACUAUAGGAUAAAUUAAUAAUCUAUGCUUGGCCAUGCACUUUAUAAAUUAAAUUUCAAUAAAUAAAAUGUCAUAAGACUUUGGCCAUGUGGAAAAUUUAAAGUUUAAAAUAUUUAUAAAAGAAAUUCAAAAAAAAAAAGGGAAAAAGAGGGUCAAAAUUCGAUUGGGCCUUAAGCCCAAGAGUGGAACUUUAAUGGGCCAAGUUGGCCGGCCCAUUGAAGCCCACAAGGGGGCUGUCGACCAGCCCAAGAGGAGGCCCAAGAGUGGCCGGCCCAAGCCCAAAAGCCCAUCUUGCAUGUGUUGUGACAAGUGGCAAGAGGGGUGGCAUGCAUUGGGCAUUGGGGAGGCAAGCUAAUGAUGAGGUUUAAGGGGUAUAAAAAGGGGAAGGAAAGGAGAGAGAAUGGCUGGUUAGCCAUUCGGCCAAGAGAGAAAGGGAGAGAGAGAGAGAACCGUGCGAGAGAGAGAGGAAGAGGGUGCGGCAGAGAGAGAGAGGAAGGAGGUGGAGCCGAGGGGUUGCCGCCGUCCGUCCGCCGUGUUUGCCGCCGUACGCCGUCGUUUUCUUCGGUCUAGAGGCAAGUGGAGUCCUCUAGCUUCUCUUGCAUGCUUAUAUGUUGUUUGUAUGUUGAAAUCUUGAGUGAUAGAUGUCAAAAACCGAAGCUUGGAUGUGUGGUGUGUGAGUAGCGUGACUGUUUUCGUUCGGAUCAUGUGAGUCAGAAACUUGUUUGAGCUUGCAUGUGUGUUUGGAGUCCGAUUUUGGCUUCGAUGUCUUCAUGGAAGUUGUAGCUAACAUCUUGUACUAUAACAUACUGAAAUUUAGUGAAAAAUUAUGGAGAUUUGAGGGGUUAAAGUCUUGUUAUACGGAGACCUCAGAUCUGGAGAGUUUUUACUAACCUCUUGCUGGAUUCAUGGUUGUAUGUUGGUUUUUGUUGAGAAUAUCACUUCUGUUUCUUCAUGAAAGUUGUAGGUAACACCUUAAAAUACAACAUACUAAAAUUUGAAGAGAAAUGAACAAGUAUAGCCUAGUAAAUCGGCUAGAUCUUGGGGACGAUGAUUCUGGUGAUGUGUUCCGAGACACCCGAGACUUCAUGGACUUAAAUGGUGACCAUACUUUGGUUAUUUGACCUAGAUCUAUUGAUGAAACUUGUAAAGGACACCUUGAUACAUAACAUAUCCAAAUUAUAGAGAAAACGAAAGAGGAUAGGUAGGUUAAAUCUCAGUAUUUCGGAGAUGUGUAUUCUGGACGAUGCGGUAAGGGUUCCAGAAGCUUCGUGAGGUUUAAUAAAAUAAUAUAUAAGGAAUCUGACUUGGAGUUCUUCAUGAAAGUUGUACGAAAAUGUCUUGGGUAUAACCCAAUAAAAUUUCAUAAUUUUUGGAGGCCAUAUGGAUAUUUUAAUUGAAUUUAUUCGGAAACCGUGCAUUCUGGUUUAAUCCGAGAAUCAUAGGAUGUUUUGGGAAAAUUGUGAGAUUUAGUAAAAAUUCAAUUUGGCCAUGAAUUUUGCAAGUAAUUAUCAUCCUAUGGGUUUGUUUAAUAAUUUCUUGGAUUUUGAUAAUUUUGGGAAUUUAUUGAUAUUAAAUAAUAAAUAAAUAAAAUAAAAUAAUAAAAUAAAAUAAAAUAAAAUAGAUUUUUAUUUGGCCAUGGAUUCAAUUUUAUUUGUGUGGCAUAUAUGUGAUAAAGUCUUGGUACAUGUAUUGAAUUGAGAUGCAUGUGUGAUAAAGUUUUGGUAUGUGUAUGACAUUUGAAUUGAGAUGCAAGUGUGAAUUCCAUGUCAAGUGUGAUUUGUUUGAUGCCAUGCCAAUUGCUAUGUUAAAUUGAGAUAAAGAAAUGGUAAAUGUGAAUGAUGGUAAAUGAGGAAAUGGUUGUGGUGGAGGAUGAUGGCCGGAAUGUAUAGAGAUACAUUACCGGAUUUCCCCGGGAGUGUCGGGAUGCCCGGUGGUAUACGGUACGUAAUUCCAGGGGAGGCCUGGUGGUAUGUCGGUACAUAAUUCCGGAAGCCCUGUCGGAGGUCUUUGCUCGAAGGGAAUGCCUAGCGAUGCCAGGAUUUGGGUGCGAGAUGCCCGGCUAGAAGGGUAAAGGCCGGAUGUCCGGUUGUAUCUUGGAUACAUGCCCGGAGGUUCCUCGUGAUGCUAGUUGGGAUGCGAGAUGCCCGGAAUGUGGGGGGCCGGAUGCCCGGUUGUAUCUUGGAUACAUGCCCGGAGGUUUUUCUCGCAUGGGAUGUGAGUGUAAAAUAUGGGAUGAAAUUGAUGAAUCGAGGAAGGGUGAUGUGGUGAUCAAAUUUAAAGAUAAAGAUGAAAAUUAACUCAUGGCAUGAUAUGGUAUGAUAUGCAUGAUGAUAUGCAUGAUGAUGGUGAUGAUAUGUGAUGUGAUAUGAUGAUCACCCAUGGUAUGAUAUGCAUGAUGAUAUGCAUGAUGAUGGUGAUGAUAUGUGAUGUGAUAUGAUGAUCACCCAUGGUAUGAUAUGCAUGAUGAUAUGUGAUGUGAUAUGAUGAUCACCCAUGGUAUGAUAUGCAUGAUGAUAUGUGAUGUGAUAUGAUGAUCACCCAUGGUAUGAUAUGCAUGAUGAUAUGCAUGAUGAUGAUGAUGUGAUAUGAUGAUCACCCAUGGUAUGAUAUGCAUGAUGAUAUGCAUGAUGNNNNNNNNNNNNNNNNNNNNNNNNNNNNNNNNNNNNNNNNNNNNNNNNNNNNNNNNNNNNNNNNNNNNNNNNNNNNNNNNNNNNNNNNNNNNNNNNNNNNGAUGAUAUGCAUGAUGAUGAUGAUAAUAUGAUAUGUGAUGAUGUCAUGAUAAGGAUGACAUGUAUGAUAUAAUGAUGCCAUGAUGAUGAUUAUGAUGAUGACAUAUGAUGAUAUGAUAUGCAUGAUGAUAAGGCAUGAUGAUGCAUGAUAGUAUUACGCAUGGCUGCAAGGUAAGUUACACCUGCAAUGCAUGUAUGAUUUGUAUGAUGCAUCGAGUUGUUAUUGGAUUCCUUUACUUGCUGAGUGGUUGUACUCACCCCUUUUGGGGAAUAACAUUUCAGAUUAGUAGAUGGUUUAAGCGGUUGGAUAUGAUCGCGAGGAGAAGGAUAGCAAAAGGAGGGAACCUUUGGACGCCGACACUGGUUGAUGGACCUUAAGCAUACGAUUGUGGGAGGAGAUGUCGGUCACCUUUUAAAGUGUAGCAUAGUAUAGAAAACUAUGGCAUUUUGAUGUACAGACUAAAUAUGUCCAUUAGCUCUAUGUAAAUAAACGUGUUCGGCUUUUACUUAUAAAUGUUUAGUAAGUGUGCAUCGUUUUCUGAAUGUAGGGAAGGGAGUUUGUUAGAUGUGCUUCUGUAUGUGAAUUGCGCAAGGGACCUAUAAAAAAAAAAGAAGUGUAAACCCCCUAUGUUGUAUGGACCCGCUGCAAUUGAAAUGGUAUCAGAGUGACAUGUUAUUAGGAAAAUAAAUGGUAAGCAAACUGUGGCGACCCAAAUCGGAUUGGGGGCCGUCGAGGGGUGUCACACUUGGUGAUUGCAGGUAACCCCUUUAGUAUGGCCAGCGAUUCCGCGAGCUUGUCCGAUGGUUGGAUCUAAGCGAGUCGCCAAAAGUCGCCAUAGAAUAGAGCAAGCGAUGAAAGAGUAAUAACAGCCUUAUUGACCCAGGAGUAGCUCGACAGCUCGUGAAAGAUCGAGAUCAUCAUUUCAGGCACAUUUUUUGGUGUCUAAUGCCUUGCAUGUGAUCUAAUAACAUGAUGUUGAUAAUGUUGAUAUAUGGGAUUAGUUAUUACCAAGCUCUAAACAGUAAAAAAUAGCCAAAACAACAACCACUCUUCACUUAAGGAAAAUAAAUUGUUUGAAGGGACAUAAUAACAUACCUCACAAGCCACUUCGUUGAUUGCGUCUAGGGGUGGAUUGAAGCCUUCCUUUGGUGGCUUGAACGCAGCGCCUCUAGAUCCUUGAGUGCCCUACAGUGUAUGCAUAUGUAAGACUUAUCGUAAGAAAGGUACUAAUCAAACGAUGAAAAAAAAUUCUUGGUUUUUAACAUAUAAACUUAGGAAAUCCACAGUUAUCCGGUAGAAAUCGCUUUACGUGUAGAUAUAUAAUCAGAAUUUAUAUUUAAAACAUUGUAAGUUUUUGUUCAAAAAUUCACUAGUGAUGGAGGUAAAUAUUAAGGUGCAGUUGUUUUGGGAAAAAAAAAUUAAACAUUUUAAGAAUGAUUUUCUAAUCAUUUUUAUUGAUAAUGAAAAUAUUUUUAUUUGAUUUAUUUAUAUAAGUGUUCUAAUAUCCUUAUUUUUUUUUUAAAAAAAUGCUUGCUAAAUCACACUAAACAAAAACGUUCUAAAACUAAAAUUAAAAGUCUUCUGAGUCUGAGCUUCUUUAACUUUAAGAUAUUAAGUCUGGAUCGAAUAGUCUCAAAUUGACUUUUCUCCAAUGGCUCUGUAAAAAUGUCCACUAGCUGAUUCUUUGAGUCAAUGAAUUGAAUUAAGACUUCUCCAUUUUGAACAUGGUCUGUAAUAAAGUGAUGUUGAAUCUCUAUAUGCUUUGCUCUUGAAUGAAGAAUUGGAUUCUUGGUGAGAUUAAUCAAGCUGGUGUUGUCACAUUUGAUCUCAGUGUAUGAAUCUUCGAUUCCAAAGUCUCUUAACUGUUGUUUUAUCCAUAAAAUUUGAGAACAACAACUUCCAAGAGCCACAUACUCUGUUUCUGUUGUUGAAAGAGUUACAGUACUUUACUUCCUUGAAAACCAAGAUACUGUCCUAUUACCAAGCAAUUGAUAAGUGCCUGAGGUGCUCAUUCUAUCAACUCUACAUCCUGCUAGAUCUGCGUCUAAGUAUCUAAGGAGAGUAAAGUCUCAUUCUUUAGGAUACCAGAGACCCAACUUAGAGGUUGUUGCAACGUAUUUGAUGAUACGUUUCGUAGCACUUAGAUGAGAUUCUUUGGGAUCUGAUUGAAAUCCGGCACAAACACAAACACUAAAUAAGAUGUCAGGUCUAGAGGCAGUAAGAUAAAGAAGUGAACCAAUGAUACUCCUGUAUAGCUUCUGAUCAACUUUCUUUCCUCCUUCAUCUUUGUCUAGCUUUGAAGAACUUGACAUUGGUAUAUCAGUCUUUUUGCAAUUCUCCAAACCGAAUUUUUUAACAAGUUCUUUAGCAUAUUUUUCUUGGUGAAUGAAAAUUCAUUCAUUCAAUUGUUUCACUUGUAGUCCGAGAAAGAAGGAUAAUUCACCCAUCAUGCUCAUCUCGAAUUCAUCCUGCAUAGACUUAGAGAAUUUCUUACAUAGACUUUCGUUAAGUGAUCCAAAAAUAAUGUCAUCAACAUAGAUUUGAACUAGUAGAAAGUUUUUACUUUCUCUUUUAAUAAACAGAGUAGUGUCUAUUUUACCUUUAACAAAGCCAUUUUGGAUUAAAAACUUACUUAACCUGUCGUACCAAGCUCGAGGUGCUUGCUUUAAACCAUAUAGCACAUUUUUCAGUCUGAAUACAGAGUCUGGUUUCCUUGGGUCUUCAAAAUCGGGAGGUUGUUCCACAUAGACUUCCUCCUGAAUAAAUUCAUUCAGGAAUGUACUUUUGACGUCCAUUUGGAAUAACCUGAAAUUCUUAUAACAAGUAAAAGUAAGUAAUAAUCUAAUUACUUCUAACCUUACUACUGGUGCGUAAGUCUCGUCAUAGUCUAUCUCUUCUUCUUGCGUAUAUCCUUUGGCCACGAGUCUUGUUUUGUUCCUUAUAACUUUUCCUUUCUCGUCCAUCUUGUUCCUGAAAACCCAUUUAGCUCCAAUAACAGAUUUACCUUUUGGUUUAGGAGUUAAUUCCCAAACAUCGUUAACAUUGAACUGUCCGAGUUCUUCUUGCAUAGCUUUAAUCCAGCUUUCAUCAAUCAAAGCUUCUUCAAUACUUUUGGGUUCUAUUUUAGAAAUAAGAGCCACAUCGCUAGACUCUUUAGGCCUUUUGGAUCUUGUAUGAAUCCCUUCAUCAAUGUUACCAAUAAUGAGUUCUUUGGGAUGAAUAGACUUGUGCUUUCAGUUGCUAGUUGGUUUGACAGUCUGCUGAUAUUUUUCUUCAUUUGAUUCUUCAAAAAUUUUUGUUGUUGACCUUCUGUAGUCUGAGCUGCUUCUGGGAAAUUAGACUUUGUAGAGUCUGGAGCAGGUUCAGAUUCUUCAAGUUAAGUCUGGAUCGAAUGAUUUUGUAUAAGGUCUUGAAAUUUGACAUUCAUCAAUUUUUCCACAGAUUGAAUCUUUUUGUUGUAUACUCUGUAAGCUUUGCAGGUGGUUGAAUAUCCAAGGAAGAUUCCUUCGUCUGAUUUUUCUUCAAACUUACCAAUUCGAUCAUUUGCAUUUUUCAAUAUAAAACAUUUGCAAUCAAACACAUGAAAAUAGGAAACAAUUGGCUUCUUUUCUUUGAACAACUCAUAGGGAGUUUUCUCUAGAAUAGGUCUUCAGAAGACUCUGUUGAUAAUAUAACAUGCUGUAGAAACUGCUUCAGCCUAAAAACAAGAAGAAAUGUUGCUUUCAAUUAAAAGUGUUCUAGUCAUUUCUUGUAACGAUUUAUUCUUCCUUUCCACAACUCCAUUCUGUUCUAGAGUAUAUGGAGAGGAGAACACAUGCUGAAAACCAGAUUCAUCACAGAAUUUAGCAAAAUCUUGCUUUUCAAACUCACAUCUAUGGUCUAUCCGUAUACUUGAAAUAACAUACCAUUUCUCAUUAUGUACUUUCUUAGUAAACUUUAAAAAAUAAGAAAAUGUUUCAGACUUACUUGUCAGAAAGUAUACCCAAGUAAAUCGUGAAUAAUAAUCCACUAUUACUGGACAAUAUUUCUUUCCACCAAUGCUCUGAGUCCUAAUUGUUCCAAAGAGAUCCAUAUGUAGGAGCUGCAGCACACGAUUAGUGGAAACUUGAUUUAUUAGUUUGAAAGAAUUUCUAACCUAUUUUCCCAACACACAUGGUGUGCAUAAUUCAGAUUUUUGGUAUGUCAGGUUGGGUAGUCCACGAACAAGCUUUUUUGUAGAGAUCUUGGCUAUUUGCUUCAUGUUGAUAUGGCCAAGUUUUCGAUGCCAGAGAUUAGCUUCCUCUUGAAUUGAAAUUAGACAUUGAGAUUUUUCUGGUUUAAUGUCCAAAAGAUAGAUGUUUCAAUGUCUUCUCCCUGUAAAGGUCUGAGAGAAAUUAUUAUAGAUGUCCAAACAAACUUAUCAUGAGUUUGAUUAAUCUCCUAUGUCAUAUCAAUUAUUGUGUCAUUGACUGGAGAAUGAAAAGAUAAUCUCGUGAUUAGAUAGGUCAAUGCAAACCCCACAAAAAUUGACUACCAGUGCAAGUGGAUUGCUUCGUGAUUACGAAAAGUAAACUUUGGGGCGUAUAUUAUUUAAUUGUUACCUAUGGCUCCAUCACUGUUUAGAGGCUUUGUCAUCAUUUCAUGUAUGAAACUUCAAUCAAUGCACAUGAACGGAAUAGUGCACGUUCAAUUAUGCAGAUUAAUUGAAUCGAAAAUUUUGAAUAUAUUGUAAUAAAGAAAAAUAGUAGAGAUCAUAAAAAAAAAAUCCGCAUGGAUGAUUACAUUUUUGAAAGGAUAUGCACAAAAUGAUUAGCAGAAUUUGAGCUUCCUCACCUGUUGGAUAUUUUAAUAAUAUUUUGAAAUAGUUACAAUAAUAGCUUCGAUAAAAGUUAUGACCGCAUUGAAGACCAUCAUUAUUUUUAACGGUCACAUAACGGUUUCUUAAUGGUCAUAUAAUGAAUUUUCAAUCGUUUUGUAAUGUUUAAUUUAUUUCUCAAAUAAAUCCUUCAUUAUUUUACAACGGCUCUUUUAACGGCUCUAUUUUGUUUGAAUAUAAAAUCUCAUAAAACAAUCUUAAAAAGAUAUACACUGAAUGAAAAAAAAGAAUAUAUUCUUUCUUUUCAAAUCUUUCCUUACCUUUUUCUUUGCUAGGUUAUACACAAUGUUGUUUCUGUUCUUUCUAAUAUUCAGUGCGGAAUAUAGAAGAAGGUCUGUUGUAUCUUGGGAGGAUAGCCAUCAGAAGCCUAUUGCACUGAGUUUCGCACUCUGAGGGGCGGAAUUAUCCUUAAAGACAGUGUUUACGCUUGCACGCCUCAAACAAAUCUAUUUGUUCUCAUCAGUUUUUUUCCUACAAUCUUAAGGAUAAGUCCCAUGUAGUAUCAAGUUAAUACUGCUGUUGAUGCCUCAAUCUCCACCAGUCCAGUUGCCCUACCACCACUACCACAUAUGUCCUAUGCCAAACCAUUCCCCGACAUAUCGAAGAUCCAAGUUUUUAAUGGCAACAAUUUCAGAAGGUGGUAAGAAAGGGUUUUCUCUAUCUUAGAUGUGCACGGCGUGGCUUUCGCACUUACGGAGGCCGAACUAACUGAUAACAAGCUUUGAGAUCAAUGGAUACAUGCUAAUAAGGUAUGUAGGCACACAAUUAUUAGUACUCUUUCUAAUGAAUUGUUUGAUGUCUACUGUCCGUACAAGGAAGCGAAACAAAUAUGGGACUCCAUGAUUGCAAAGUACACUAUCGAAGAUGUGAGCAAACAAAAAUUUGUAAUCGGAAAUUAUUAUUGAUGGGAAAUGUCUGAUGAUAAGGAGAUCAAAACACAAAUAAAUGAAUAUCACAAGCUAGUGGAGGACUUGAAGGCAGAAAACAUCAAUUUACAAGAAGAAUUUCUUGCGGGCCUGCUGAUUGAAAAGUUGCCUGAGUCUUGGAAUAACUACAAGCAACAACUCAAGCACAAGGACAAGCAAUUGUCACUAGCUGAUCUGAUCGUGCAUAUUAUCAUUGAGGAUACAGCUCGCAUGGAGAUCAAAGCUGCCAAAGCUAAGGAAAUUGCUACCAGGGAAAAUUUGGUGCAAGGAAAAUUUCAACAUUGCCAAAACAGGUAUUAUAACAAAAAACCUAAUUACAAACCCAAGGUUGCUCAUCCCACCUUAAAAAAGAAAGGCUCUUGCUUUGUUUGUGGAAAACCGGGUCAUCAUGUAGCGCACCGCAGAAAGAGAAUAUUGGGAAAUGACAAUCCUGCUAAACUAAAAGUCAAUUUGGUUAAAGCAGAUGACUUUAAUGAUAUAAUUGUUGCAGUUAUUUCUCAGACCAACAUUGUGGCCAAUGUGAAAGAGUGGGUGGUAGACUCAGAUGCUACUAGGCAUAUUUGUGCAAACAAAAAUGCAUUUUCCUUCUACACACUAGUAAGGGAAGGAGAAGAAAUUAUUUAUCUUGGUGAUUCAAGAAUAGCUCAAAUUAUUGGGAAAAGAAACGUUCUUCUCAAGCUCACAUCUGGUAAGACUUUGGCCCUGAAUGAUGUAUUACAUGUCCCUAAUAUAAGGGCAAACCUGGUCUUAGUAGUGUUGGAGAAAACUUCCUUAUUUGUUUUGAAGCUGACAAAACGUUUUCAUCAGUCUGGUCUGAAGACUUGCAGACUCUUUCGUCAAAGUUUGAAGACCGCCAGACCGCCAGACUGCCAGACUCAAGAUUUAAAGUCUGCCCUCAUUGACAGUUUCUAGAUCAAUGAAAAAGACUUAUCCAGAAUUGAGUAUUUCUUUAAGGAUUUGAUUCGAGCAGCUAAAGAAGUUCUCACGAUUGGAGAUAGCAUCUUAAGAUCUAUUAUUUGUUUUGAAAUUAAUUCGAGUAAUUUGGAUCCGUUUAUUAGCAAAAUAUAUUUGGAAGGUUUUAUUUAUGGAAACCUAGAUCCUGAUUGUAUGGGUGAGCAGGAUUGGUGGACUAUCAUCACAUUCCUUAAGUAACUCGAGAUCUCCUUAAUUGAUUAUGUCCAACGGAUAGAUUGGAAGAACUUCUUUCGAAGGUGCCAACGGUUAUGAAUGCAUGGAGAAGUAUAUAAGGAAGACGCUCUAGUUAUUCGAGUGUGUGCACGAUAAAUAAAUUCCAAAGUUUGAAGUUUCUUGUUCUUUGCUGAUUCAAUUAUUGAACGAAAAUUUGUACUCAAAAGAGAGUUUAGACAUUUGUGAGGCCUUGAGGAAGUGUAGCAGAGUCUCUACACUGUAGAAUCAAGGACGUAAUACUGUAACCACUCUUUUGAUCCAUAGUGAAAUCCAACCGGUGGGCUGUCAAUGCAGGAAAAUGGACGUAGGCUUGGAUUAAGUCGAACCACUAUAAACCUUAUGUUCUUAUUCUUUUCCCUGAACUCUUUUAUUUUGCUCGUAACUCUAUUUAAUUGUUAGAGUCUGAUUUCCUCUACAAAGUCUACUGAUAAUCAGACUCAGGUUAAAAGUAAAGUUUUACACUAUAUUUUGCAAAAUUUGUUUUUGCACUUAUUCACCCCCCUCUAGAUGCUCCUACUAGCACUUUCAAGUAGCACUUUUAGAAAAGGUUGGGGUGAAGGUGUCGUAAGACUAUAAUGACACAAAAUAACGUCUUUGUGGGAAAUGGUUAUUAUAAUCAAGGACUUAAUAAUGUAUUUGUGGGAAAGGGUUAUUAUAAUCAAGGACUUUUUGUUCUUAACAUUUCCAAUGUUAUCAAUGAAAAUGCUACUGCUUUCGCUUACUUGGCUUAAUCUAUUGAUUUAUGGCAUGGUAGAUUAGGUCAUGUUAAUAUUUCUUAUAUUAAGAAAAUGCAAAAACAAUGUUUAAUUUUUGGAAUUAAAAACCCAUGUUUUAAUAAAUGUAUAAUAUGUGCCGAAACAAAAUUAACAAAAAAGCCUUGUAUUUCUGUAAAUAGAGAAUCUGAUUUGUUGAGUUUAAUAAAAAAAAGCCUUGUAUUUCUGUAAAUAGAGAAUCUAAUUUGUUGAGUUUAAUUCAUACUAAUCUAGGAGAUUUAAAACAAAUUAUGACUAGAGGAGGUAAAAAAUAGUACGUGACCCUCAUUGAUGAUUAUUCUAGAUUUAUUAAAGUUUAUUUGUUUAGGCAUAAAGAUGAAGCUUUUGAUAUGUUCCUUUUGUAUAAAGCUGAGGUAGAAAAUCAAUUGAAUAAACGGAUAAAAAAAAUUAGAUCGGAUAGAGGUGGAGAAUAUGUAUUGCUUAAUGAAUUUUGUGAAAAUGAAGGAAUAAUUCAUGAAACUACGCCUCCUUAUUCCCCUGAAUCUAAUAGCAUAGCUGAAAGGAAAAAUAAGACUUUGAAAGAGAUGAUGAAUUAUAUGCUUGUUAGUUCUAAUGCUCCAAAUAAUUUAUGGGGUAAAGCUGUUUUAUCUGCAUGUCACAUCCAAAAUAGAAUACCUCAUAAGAAAUGUCGCGACCUUCCUGAGGGUGGAUUACUCAAAAGGGCUAAUGGAUUACUAAGUCCGAAGACUUGGCACAGACUCUCCCAAGUUCUUCCAAUCACGACUUGAUACUAAGAAAUUAACCCAUUUAAACAUGCAAUUAUACUCAAUUUGGAGCCGCCACUAACCAAUUAGGGUUUAUUAGAAACCCAAGUAAAGUAUGGGAGAAUACUUUACUCUUGCGAACCAGAGAUUCAAUAGGUCCGAGGACAUGAUUACACUAGAUUAAUCUAAUGCCCUUUCGGUACAUUUUCAUUUUAAUUUCAAAAAUAUUUUGCAGGCAAUAUUGAUUAAUUUUAACAUAAGCUACUAACAUGCAUAUGGUGGUCAUGCGGGUGCACAAUAAAUGAAAUAACAUUCAAUAAACCGAAGUAAUAGAUUGUAAGAAAUUAUAAACUACAACUUCAUUAAGGUCCACUCUCUAAAGAAAAACUUACAAAAAUGCUAGUAAAAAUGCAUGCCCUAAACAUGAUUUCUAAAUGACAUGACACCUAAUUUUUCUUUUUCUUUAAAAAAUGUUAAUUAUAUGCAAUCUUAAUUUAAAUUUGAUAUGCAUGAGUUUUACUUUAAUGACAUGUGAGAUGCAAUUCAUAUGACAUGAUCUGAAUCAUUACAAUAUGUGUGCAAUCUAAUUUACAUAAUCCUAAAUAUGCAUGUGCUACAUGAUAUGGGAUGGAUGACAUGGUAAUUUUAUAUGCAUGUUCUUUUUAUGAUUUUUUAAUUAUUCUUUUUAAUACAUAUAUACAACCUACACUAAACAAUGAUGACAUAAAAUGGGAUUAAUUAUAAACUAACCUAUUAACUAACCUAAUAAAUGACAUUUGUGUUUUCUUUUUUUAAAAUGACUUAAUAAUUCUUACUUUGGCUUUUUUAUUAAAAAGCUAUACGACGGGAAUAUUAAAACAUUAACCUAUGACCCACUAAUUAAAGUGCAACAUGUGGUGUGCACAUUAUGAAAUCUAUAUAACCUAAAUAACGUUUUUUUUUUUGGUUCUUUUUUUUAGUUUUGGUUUUAUUAAAGGAAAAUUAUCCUAAUUCUAUAUGAAUCUUAAAAAUCAAAAUGUGUUGCUUUAACAUGAAAUAUGUAUGGACCUAAGUACCUAAAUUCUAGAUAUGACAUAUGAUGCAUGAUAUGUGAUGAGCAAAUAACGAUAACGCACCAAAAUAUAUGUCCUAUUGAAAAAUCCACCAAUGUAAAUUAAUGACAUAUUAUCUUAAUGAGAGUCAAUUACGCAAAGCAAUCCAUAAAUUUGCUUUGAAAAGUUGAAAUAAUAAAAAAUCUAACCCGCCAUCUCGCGGUUCAAUAUUUUUUAUUAUUAUGGCUUAAUAUGACAAAUUUCCCGAUCGGAUAACAAUUAUAUAUGACAAAUCAAGUGAGGAUCACAAGCUAAGAACCCGAAUACUCAAACUAAAUUUAGCCUAAAGAGAUUACCUAGCUUGGAAAAAUUAUCUCCAAGAUGGAAACCAGCAAGGAACGAUGCCAAGUUCACCCUUCUCAAGCCUCAAGUGACCUGCACAAGGAAAAUGGUACCAACAGUAUUGAACUUGUUGGACAACUUCGGAUGAAGGCUGGUCGGCGUCGGAACGGGCGAGGGAAAUAGUCGAUGUUGGAGCUCUGGCGAGGACUGAGCGGCAGUAGCAGCAAGGAGGCGUGGCAUCGGUGAUUGGCGAACAUUAGGGUCGCGGGUCGCAGCGGUGGUGGUGAACAGUGGCAUCAGGGGUCACUGCUAGGUGGAACAGAGGAGCAGCAACGUCACAGGAAGGGGCGUCAGGCUACUGGGACUGGUUCGGGCUGCUGUAGAGGGAGUAGCGGCGUUGGGUUGAGGCAGAGCGCGACGUGGAGUCACGGCGGCGUCGGGGUCAUCGCAACAGAUGGGUUGGCAGUGACUGGCGAGGCAGAAGUGCAGGCAAAGGCACUAGGUCGUGGUUUCAGCAGGCGCCAGUGCUAGUGGAGUGACAGCGGCAGAGGUGGUGCAGGUGUGGUGGAUCAGCGCAGGCACGGGAGACAAGCAGGGGUGCUCAUAUGACGACCGACGUAGCGAGCGUCGAUGAGCUGUGGAGUGGCAAACGUCGCUAAUGCUGAGGCGACCGGCGACUCAAGAUUUGUAGGUCGCGGGUCGGCCGCAGUGGUGGCAGACGCAGGCGGAGCGAAGUAGCAUCGACGCCGGCACUCGGAGCUUGUAGGCGAGCGGCGGUGCCGCGCGGUGGCCGGAUGCAAGCGAAGGUGUGGUGGACAGAGGUCGAGAGGGCAUGAGGCUGCCCACGGAGAAGAUGACUGUAGCUUUUCUUUUUUUUUCUUUUUCUUUUUCCUUCCUCUUUUUCUCUGCUCUCACAUCUCUCUCUCACGUCACUUUCUCUCUGACUCUUCUCUUUGAAACCCCUAUUUGCUAUCCUCUCACUUUUCUCCUCUCUGUUUUCACCUUUUUUUUUUACUUUUCUCUUCUUCUUUUUUCAAUCCACUUUUGUAUUUCCUUCGACGAAGACGAAGAGAAAACCCCCCCCCCCCCCUCGUUCACGUCCUCACAAUCUUUAUUUAUAGAGAAAAAACUCAAAGUUGUUGAAGAUUUCUCAAUAUAAUUGCACAUAUUCACUCAACCACUCAACAAGAAAAAAAUAGUUCCAAAAUCACACAACCACUGAAUCCUUGAAUUUUGAAAUGAUAAGAUAUGUUCAACAAGAAAAACACUUCAUUAUUAUAAAAUUUCCAAAAUCUCCCUCCAAAUGUUUUAUUUUAUAUGUUAUUUAUUAUCCUCUAUUUUUUAUUUUCUAAAAGGUAAGUUUAAUCCUAAAUGUUAUUAUUACCUACAUGCAAUGCUAUGGAAUGCUUAAUGUAAGUAAGUAGCAUUGUCAAAAUUAGGUGUCAACAAGAAAACUGGUAAAACACCCUAUGAAUUUUGGAAAGGUUAUCGUUCUAAUUUAAAAUAUUUGAAAGUGUAGGGGUGUCUUGCUAAGGUUAUGCUUCCUAAUUUUAAGAAAAGGAAAAUAAGCUCUAAAUCAUCUGACUGCAUGUUUAUUGGUUAUGUUGAACAUAGUGUUGCAUAUAGAUUUCUUGUAUUAAAAAGUGACGUGCUUGAUAAUAAUACUAUAGUUAAGACAAAAAAAAGCAAAAAAAAUUGAGCAUAUUUUUCCAUUAAGUGUUGAUACUAUUUCUCCUGCACCUCUUCAUAAAAACGUUUUCGAAAAUUCAAAUGAUGAAUUGAGAAUGAGCAAAAGAAUAAGGAAAGAAACUUCUUUUAGGAAUGAUUUUUAUACUUAUCUUAUUGAUAAUGAUCCUUUGACUUAUUUUGAAGCAAUAUCUUCCUCAGAAAGCAAUUUUUGGAAAGAAUCUAUAAAAAUCGAGAUUGAUUCUAUCUUACAAAAUCAAACUUGGAAAUUACUUGAUUUACCACCCGGUGCAAAACCGAUCGGUUGUAAAUGGAUUUUUAAAAUAAAAUAUAAUCUUGAUGGUUCUGUUGAUAAAUAUAAAGCAAGAUUAGUUGCAAAAGGUUUUACUCAAAAAUAAAAUGUUCAUUAUUUUGACACUUUUGCUCCAGUUACAAGAAUUUUAUCAGUUCGUGUUUUAAUUGCUUUGGCUUCUAUUUACCAACUUAUUAUUUACCAAAUGGAUGUUAAAAUAGCUUUUUUAAAUGGUGAUUUGGAAGAAAAAAUUUACAUGGUGCAACCUGAGGGCUGUAUAACAAAGUUUGUAAACUUGUUAAAUCCUUAUACGACUUAAAGCAAGCACUAAAGCAAUGGUAUGAAAAAUUUUCUAGUUAAUAAUGGUAUUUUCUCUAUUGGAGUAGAUAAAUGUGUAUACACAAAAACUAUUGAUGGUGAAUCUAUAAUUAUUAGCGUAUAUGUUGAUGACAUGCUUAUUUUUUGUACGUGUAUUGAUGUAGUGAAUGAAAAAAAAUGUUUUUUGACUUCUAAAUUUGAUAUGAAGGGUAUGGGAGAAGCUAAUAUUAUUGUAGGUGUUAGAAUCAUAAAGAGUGAUAGUGGCCUAAUGCUUACUCAAGUGCAUUAUGUGGAGAGGCUACUUAAAAAAUAUGAUCACUUUGAUAUCAAACCUGUGAAUACUUCUUAUAAUUCUAAUAUCCAAUUAGUGAAAAAUAAAGGAGAAGGUGUGGCUCAGUCUAAGUAUGCUCAAAUUAUUGGAAGUUUGAUGCAUUUGAUGAAUUUUACUUGACUCGAUAUAGCUUAUGCUGUAUGUAGACUGAGCAAAUAUACACAAAAUCCUAAUAAUGAUCAUUGGACUGCUUUGAGCAGAUUAAUGAAAUAUUUAAGAGGAACCAUGAAUUGUGGUAUUUUAUAUAGUGGAUUUCUCGCUGUAUUAGAAGGAUACAGUGAUGCUAAUGAGACUUCGGAUUCAGAUAAGACAAAAUCCACUAGUGGAUAUGUGUUCACCCUUGGUGGAGGUGCUGUAACUUGAAAGUCAGCCAAAUAAACAAUAAUUGCUAAAUCUACUAUGGAGCAAGAGUUUAUGGCUCUAGAAUUGGCUGGCAAUGAGGCUGAGUGGUUAAGGAACCUCUUAGCGGAUAUUCCUUUGAGAAUGAAAUCGACACCUUCUGUGUCUAUGCACUGUGAUUGCCAAGCGUAAUAGACAUUGCAAAGAAUAGAACUUUCAAUGAUAAAAAUAGACACAUCCGAUUGAGACAUGAUGUAGUAAAGCGACUGCUUAAAGAUGGAAUUAUAUCCAUCGAUUUUGUAAAGUCAGAAGUGAAUUUGGCUGAUCUUUUGAAUAAACUUGUGGGAAGAAAAUUAAUUUAUGACAUAUCGAGGGGAAUAUGACUUAAGCCCAUUAAGGAAAAACAACAGUGAUGGUAACCCAACCUAUGUGAUUGGCGAUCCCAUGAAUUAGGUUCAUAUGGGUAAUAACAAGUCACUUGUUAUUCUAGUGAUAUACUAUUAAAAAUUAUUGUCCAUCCUAAGAUGAGAAUGGUGCAAAACUAUAAGGAAAAAAGAGGUUGAGCUUAGCUCUUAAUGAAAUUUCAUUGCCAUUAUUGGUGGUGUAUUAAGCUACAAAAUACACUUGAUGGAAUCACCUAUAUAAGUGUGGAGUGAGGCCGCUCCUAUGAGAAUUUUUGGCAAAAAUCUUUAAAGCACUUAUGAAUAAACCAAGCACGUGCAUGGCCUAUUAGCGCAAAAUUGUGUUGAACAACAAAAUUUAUGGGAGUGCAAUGUGAUUGAUGAAAAUUAUAAUUCAGGAAAGAAAUUUUUUGUUCAUAGAAGUUUCAAACUUCACUAAUAAUUUCGUGAAUUAUAUUUCAUUUUUUCUAGGACUAGUUCAUAGCCUAACAAACACCAGUUCUGAUGCAUUACACUCCAAUAACCCAACAUCAUAUUAAUUUUUUUUUAUCAAAAUCUUUUGAAAUAUGUGGGGGAUUGUUAGAUAUUUCAAUAAUAUUUUGAAAUAUUUACAAUAAUAGCUUCGAUAAAAGUUAUGACCGCAUUGACGAUCAUCAUUAUUUUUAACGGUCACAUAACGGUUUCUUAGGUUCCGCAUGAGAACAUUUUUGUUCCUCCAGAUUUCUGAUCUUUUGUCCCUCGGAACAAAAAAAAAAAAAAACAGAAAUCUAUUUGGUAACGCCAAAUUGUUUUUCUAUUCCCCGGAAUAGAAAGUUAGCCCGAGAAUAGAUUUAGAGCAGAAACGAGAAACAAAAAAAAGUUGCUUCUUGUUUCCAGGAACAAUUUCUAGAAAUAAGCCAAUUUUUCUUUUAUUCAUCUCUCUUGCCAAGGUCACCUCCAACCGCCCGAAGCCACCGCCGCCUGCCGCCGCUGCCCAUCGCAACCUGCUGCCGCCGCCCACUGCCGCCGCCUGACGCCGGUCGUUACCGCCAUCGCCGCCUGUUACUGCCGCCACCGCCCGUCCCGUCACCAUCGCCCGUUGCAGCCCGCCACUGCCCGUCGCCAUAGCUGGUCGCAGUCGCUCACCACCGCUGCACGACCACCGACUGCCGCCGGACAGCCCAUCGACGACCGCGGGAGGGGGCAGCUGAUGGGCUGUGCGGCGAAGGUUGGCGGUGACGGUCAGUAGCAAGCGACGGCUGGUGGUUGGCGGUCGGCGAUCCGUGAGCAAGAAUAAAAAACGAAUAAAUACAAAAAUAAAACUGUUGCGUUACCAAAUGCAUUUCUAUUCUUUUUCUAUUCCAAGAGUAGAAAUUUUGUAUAGUUACCAAACGCAUUCUUUUAUUCAAAAAUUGUUCCCCAUAAUAGAAAUAGAAAAGAAUUAUUUAUGAAAAAAAAUUCUUCCCCAGCCAAGAAGUGUUGUCAUGCGCGCCCUUAACGGUCAUAUAACGGCUUUUCAAUCGUUUUGUAACGUUUAAUUUAUUUCUCAAAUAAAUCAUUCGUUAUUUUACAACGUUUCUUUUAACAUCUCUAUUUUGUCUAAAUAUAAAAUCUCAUAAGACAAUCUUAAAAAUAUACACACUAAAUGAAAAAGAGAAUAUAUUCUUUCUUUUGAAAUAUUUUCUUUCCUUUUUUUUGCUAGGUUAUACACAACGUUGUUUCUGUUCCUUCUAAUAUUCAGUGCGGAAUAUAGAAGAAUGUAUGUUGUAUCUUGGGAGGAUAGCUGUCAAAAGCUUAUCGCACCGAAUUUCGCACUCCGAGAGGCGAAAUUAUCAUUAAGGAUAGUUCUUACGCUUGCACGCCUCAGACAAAUCUAUUUGUUUUCAUCAGUUUUUUUCCUACAUCACCUGUACUCAUUAGAAGUGAGGAAAUGUUAGGUUAAAAUUUAUUACUGAUCAAUGCUCUUAUAAGCAAAUUUUAUGCCAUAAUGAUGAACGGGAAAAUUCAUUAAAAAUGAUGAAUUUCACAAUCAAAAUGCAUUUUCUCAAGUUGUUUGAAAAUCCGUCUUGUUAAUGUUGCAUGAUGAAGAGAGAAGAAUCCUCUUUUUUGACCUUUUUUUUUUUUUGCUCUGUCCUCUUCUUUUGCUGUACUUUUUGUCUCGCAAGGACCCCCUUGGCGUUUUCUCUGUGGAAGAUGUCUUCGCGAGUGAUGGAUAUUGCAGGGAGAAAACAAGAAAAACGAGCCUUGUUCUAUUCGUGCCUGUCUUCAAGAAAAAAUAGCCGUCCUCCCCAGCGAAGUGUCCUAACAUGUUCUUUUUAUAUGGGAGAAAAUUGGGUUUCAAAGAAAAGGACACAACUUUCUACUUUCACUUUGUAAGUAUAGUCCAAAUAUCAUCUGCCUUCGUCUCUUUCCUCUUUUCAUGUAUAUCUUCCUUUCGCCACAUACGCUCAGGUCAUGAAUACAUCUUAUUAUUUAAUUCCCUCUACUCUUUUCCUUUUUUUGUCCUCCAAUUGACCGAAGCUUUUAAUACAAUAUGUCCCUCCUACUUCUAAUUGCAAUAUCAACAUAUAAACUUGGGCCGAGCUUGGCCGAAAUUAAUUUACACGGGCUUAUUCUAUUUCACUUAUGCUCAAGACCUCCUAGCCUUAAUCCAAUUAGAAUAUACUUAUAUGGGCUUGUUACCAUAAAAAUGCUCCUAAUAUUUAUGUGUAAUUAAUCUAAUAUUUUUGUUUAGGGGUCAAUGAUCGAUCUAUAAUUUUCUAUACAAUAAAUGCAUAAAUAAAUCAUCAAAAUUAUAGGUGACAACACCUCUAAACCCAUUGCGCACGAGGAGCGCAACAACAUUUUACCAACAGGAUGACAUGAGUUCUUGGAGAAGACUUUCAGUUUUCAGUUGUGCAAUUAGCACAAUUCAAUUUGUCCCUGGUGAUCUCCACGUUUCCUUAUUUGUGGAGCUGUCACUAAGUUUCCGCGCUCUUCUCGUUUAAUCACUUAUAUUUUCUUCUUUUAUGUUGUUAUUCGAUCCCUCAAUGAUUCUUUGUCUCAUCCAAUCAAAGAGUAAUCUUGUUGUUUAUGUCACGACAUAAUUCGUAUAUAGUUCCUUUGGGUCGUUCUCUCGCUACAUGUAUAGGCUGCUACAAGCCUACAAGUAUCAAUUAGAUAUUGCGUCUGAAAAAUCCUCACCUAUUUAUUCUCUCUAUCUCCAAUUUUCUUUUUUGGUAAUUUCUUGCCGAAGCCAACUGCUCUAAGGGCUGAUAGUCUGUGACUCUAAAAAUUUAAGGUGUUCAAUGAAAGCAUGGUCAAUUACUCAAAUAUUAAGUUGCUCAUCAAUUCACUAAGUUGCUUUUGGACGGUACAUUGUCAUUCUGUAGAUGCAGAAGAAUGAGAAAGAGGACCAAAGCAAAUUUUAGAGCGAAAAACUACGUGCUCAAACGAAGUACUUGUACAUGCCAACUUAGAUAAUGGUUGCCCUAAACGUGGGCAACUCACAAACUCAAGGACUCAGCAAACAGUCCUCUUAUUUCAUGUCCUGGCCUAAUAGAGUUCUCGCAUAGCUCCUUUAUUGGGGACAUGGACCAGCAGAGAGAUGCAUAGGUUGCCUAAUGUGCGCCAUGGCAACACUCAAACUUGACAAAGUUCUUCAUCAUGCGGGGACAAAUUGGACACUUCACGUCCUCCGGGAUGUAGCCCACCAUGUUCGGGAUGUAGAAGUGGUGGCACCUCGGAAGAACGUAGACCCGCUCGCGGUGCUCCUUGAAGGCCGCAUCGAACGUCAUCUCAUUCCUUUUGACCGGCCCCUUCCAAUUGGUCUCGUACUGGGACAAGACCUUGGUGACGUCAACAAUCGAGUCGUUGAUCACGACCCGCGAACCCCUAGUGAGGACCGCGAACCCACCGUCCUUCUUGAAGUUGGUGUAGAGGCUGAGGACGUCCUGCAUGAGCGGUUCGUGCACAUCCGCUUUGGUUUGCAGUUUUGACAGCAUAAGGCUCUCGAGGCGGCUCCAGAAAAGCUGAUUUUUGGUGACAUUGUAGGCGGCGAUGGGAACACGAUCUUCGAUGAUCUUCUUCACUGGCUCCUCAAUUUCGUGGAUUGCC